GCCAGAUCGUUAUAAUUAUACCAUUCUGAUAAAUGGCUAUUGUAAGAGGCAGGAACUAGACAAAGCCAUCAAUCUCCUCGAACAAAUGCAUGUUGAAGCUAUAAAACCCGAUGUUCAAACCUACAAUACACUGAUGCAUGGUCUCUUUCAGACGGGUAGACAUGUUGAGGCGCACAACCUUUUCCAUGAAAUGCUAAAAAAAGGUAAUAAAUCAGAUCUCGCAACAUGUCGAAUUCUCUUAGACGGCCUUUGCAAGAACCGAUACAUGGAUGAUGCAAUCUCCUUCUUUCGAAUGAUGGAAUGUGAAGGUAUAGUACAUGAUAUUCAAAUACAUAAUAUCCUAAUUGAUGGUCUCUGCAAGAUCAGAAAGCUUAAUAAGGCCAGAAUUAUUUUUGAUAAGCUUGCUUCGAGUGGUUUGCAACCUGACGUCAUAACACACAACAUAAUGAUCAGAGGACUUUGUCAAGAAGGGUUAUUUGAGGAAGCAAAGGAAUUACUUUCUAAAAUGGAAACGAGCAUUUGUUUGCCUAAUGAUGUGACUUAUAAUACGAUCAUCCGUGGAAGUCUUUUGAAUAAAAGAUAUGAAGAAGCAGCUGUACUGAUAGAGAACAUGCGAGCUCGUAAAUUUUCAGAAGAUGCAUCUACCACAUCCAUGGUACUGGACCUAUUAUCUAAAGAAGAACAAGACCCCUCCGUUCUUGCGUUCUGCAGAUGGUUUUUGCAAUAGGUACUGAAGUUUAUGGUUCAUUGUUAACUUCCUUAAGUUUUCUGCUGUAGUAAUAUGUUUUACUGAGCAAAGAAUUAUUCUAAUUAGCAAUGUAAGGGGUUCCAUCAGUUUGUUAAGAGCAAAUAGACAAUAUAUUUGAGACAGUAAGACUAUGUCUUCUAUUUGUAUUGAGUACGGUCUAUGUUCAAGUUGUCAUUCAGAAUUGAAACUUUGCAUCUCGAUGCCUCUUAUAUACAGAAAAAGAAAUCAGCAUUUGAAAAUAAUAAAAGAAGCCUAUGUAAUACUGAAUCUAAGGGUGUGUGGGGAUUGCCAUAUUGCUAUGAAAUUUUUAUCAAAAGUUUUUGAGAGGCUAUCAUAUAAGGGACUCGCACUGUUCCCAUCAUUUCAGUGAACGAAAAUGUUCUUGUGGUGAUUACUAGUAUAAAGUUCUUAUAUGUGUUUCCUUUUCCUCUCCAAUUUAUAUCUUGGUCAAGAGAAUGGAGGGCUCCAUUCCUUAACUCAUUGGUGUACGAUUUAGACAUUACAUUGCAAAAUCAAACUCUGCUUGCACCCUUCCCGCUUUAAUGUGAAAACGUAAGAUCACAAUCUUCCUGCUUUGUUAUGGCCCCAGCAGCUAAAUAUGGUUAAAUGAAUCUAAAGGUGCUGGACAGUUAAACAGGAGCACAAAUGCACAAUGGCACCGGGAUACAUUGAAGGUAUGUCAAAACUUUUUCUUUUGACAAUUACAUAGCCAGUAGAAGUAGUGUGCACUGCAAAAACUAAUGAAAAUAUACAAUCCAUAAGUAAACAGAAUGGAAUGCAGAUUCAGUAUUGUUUUACUGAAUUUUGGUUCUUAUUAUCAUAUACCAAAGUAAUAUGUGACAAAAGCAAAUCCGUUGAUCCUUAAAUAUUUCUUAAAUAUCGGCUCUUGGUUUAUCUCAUCCUAUCAGUUUGCGGUGCAAUAUUAUUACCGUAUUGAAGCAAUGACUGAUAAAUCUUGACAUUUAAUUGCUAUAUUCCUGAACUGACAGAUCAUUUUAUACUCUGUGCACCACUACUCCGAAUUAAUUUACCUAGCUAAUAGCGAAGGUACCAUUGCUUAGAGAAAUACUAAUAUCUAACUAAUGUACACUUUUGGAUAAUUUGCAGGCUUAUAUACUUAGAAAUAGAAGCAGAAGCUUGAUGUCAAAGUCAAUAAUAAUAACUUGUAAUUUCUGAAUUUUAUUUUUAAGCAAAAGUUAAAGGAUAUGCUAAAAAUGCAGGUUAACUGACAUCCACUAGUAUAUUUAUCUACAAUUUUGUGCCUACACAGUCUCGAGUAAAAAUAAAUGAUGCAUAGUACUGGACUUCAGAUACUGCCAAUUGUAACGAGAUCCAUCCAUUUUACUUUUGAGACAUCAAGAAACUGGGAGCCGAAAGUGUUGCUUAGUAAAUAUGCACUAUGCUGAAGAUCACUUGUGAGUGUGUUUGCAUAAGUAGUAAUCACGAGUUUCUACUUCAUGGAAAUUUUGAUGGGACGUGUUUGCGGUGUUUGGUAUAACCUACACUUGUCAUAGUGGGUGUUUGGCACGGGCUUAUAAGCCCCGGCUUCUGAAUUAUAAGUUAGAAGCACUUAUUUGUACCGUUUGUGUAAAAAGUCAAGAAGUACUUAAAAAAAGCUAUGAUUACUAGCUUUUGUCCCACCGCUUCUACUUAUUUUCCAAACACUUUUAUCACUUAUAAGUCUUAACUUGCUUCUAACUUCUAUUUCACUUUUUUAUUUUAAGCAAUAAGCACUUAUUUUAAGCUCAUCCAAACGGUCCCAUAAUAUUCUUCUUAUUUGUUAUUUGAUUUAGGUACUGUUUGGGGUUGCUGUUGCAGACAGCAACAGCAGCUUUUUGCUGAAAAGCAGGUGAAAAACUGUUUGGUAAAUACAAAAACAAUUUUUCCGAACAACAACUUUUAGCUGAAAAGCUGCUGUUAGAAAAAGCAGGUCCUCCCAUGCUUUUGGAAAAAGCUGCUUUUCAUCUUUUGCAGAAUGCUGUUAUAAAUUUCAUUAUAAAACUUUACCAAAAACAUUAUUUUUAUUUAUAUUAUAACUCAAAAUAAGUAAAUAUCAAAAAAUUACCAAACAGUUAUCUGAUUUCUACAACAGCACUUAUUUUACCAGCACUUUUUCUGACAGCACAGCAAUUUUCCCAAACAGACCCUUAGUGAUAUUGCCCGGUUUUCAUUCUAUGCAUUCAUAUUUAGUAGGUAGGGUCCGGGUCCCUCACAUUCAAUAUCAGGGCAUAUUGUCAGCCCGAAAAAAAAAAAUCUCUAGACGACUUAAUCCUAAAUUUUUGAUGAAUAUGCAUGGAUGCUAAAGUGUCAUCCAACGGACUAUUGCCUUAUUCUAAGUAAUAAUCAAAGUAAUAAUCUUUUAAUUUAACAAUAAAAAUCUAAGACAUUAAAAUACUACUCCCUCCGUUUUUUAAUAUUUGACGUUUUGACUUUUGACACACAUCUUUAGGUGAAUUGACCGGAUAAUAUAAAUUAUUAUUUUUGAUUGAUUUUUUUUUUGUGAAUAAAAAUUUUGAUUAUAUAUUUUUAUUCAAAAAAAAAUUUAAAAAUAAUAAUUUUAACUACUUGGUCAAAAUACUUAAAGAUACAUGCCCAAAAUCAAAGCGUCAAAUAUUAAAAAACAGAGGGAGUAUAUUGUUGAUAUGAAAAUUAAAAGAUGGGAAAUUCCUAAUGGUACCAUUGUAGAAUUGGCUUUUCCAAAUGGUACCAAUGACUAUUUUGGGCUUCCAAGUGGUAACACCCAACUUUUGACUUCAUCCGGCACAUACCACUCUGUUAAUCAAACGUUAAUCAAGCUGUUAAGUAGUAACUAAAACCAUAUUUCCCUCCAAAAUACUGUUACCAGCAAGUUAAUACAAUAUCCAAAACAACCAACAAGUCUGAAUCAAAUAAUUUCUACAGAAGUUUCACAAAUGUCCCAAAAUAUGUUCUAACCAUUUAAAGCAUAAUAAGCAUAAUAAAACAGAUCUGAUUUAAGGCUGGGAUUGAGAUAGUGGACAUUGAGACAUGUUGAUUUCAGUGGACUGUGAUGUGUUUCCCUCUUUAGUCUGAUCUGAAGCUUUCUUUUUCAGAGCUGCAGCCGCUUUCCCUGCCUUGGAUUGAUCCCUAAUUCUUGGAUGUCUAACCACUAUUGGUCCAUUCCCUGCUGCCUUCUUUUCUUUUGCAGUCAAACCUCCCUUGCAAGUUCUUGAAUUGUGGCCAAGGCAGUCACACUUAGUGCAUUUCACUGUUUUUGCUCUCUUCCCUUUCUGGUUUUCUCCUUCUUCCCUUUUCCUGUUUCUGCUUGGUCUCCCAACCCCUCUCUUCAUUGCAGGUGGCAUGACAAUAGGUAGAUCAUCAUAUGCAGGCCAUUGGCUUUGGUCAGGUAUGGGGUUAAUGCUAAAACUAUAACAAAGUUUGUAUGUCCUAACAGAGUACCAUGCACUAACAACAUUGUGAGGAUCAAUCUUGGCAUGAACCAUAGCCCUUAUGGCAUGCCUACAUGGGAUGCCACUAAUCUGCCAAGCUCCACAAGAACAGAUCUUGUUAUUUAAAGAUAAAGGAAAGUGAGAUUUACCCUCAUGAAUUUCAUACUCUCCUGGACUAGACAUAUAUGCUUUGCAGCUUAUAGUGUCCUUGCUAAUAGCUUUCAACACCUUCUUUAUCUUUGGACAAAGGUCAUCAUCCUUCCAAGUCAUGGCAGCUUGACUUCUUGUGGCAAUUCUUACCAUGCACACUCUUCUAAUACUUGUUUCAAGCAAAUUAUAUAAUUAGGAAUAUCAAUGCAAAAAUAUGACAUGAAGAAUACAAACAUGUAUAUACCUUCAAGUAAAGUCAAGACUGGUCUGCAUCUAUCAAUUCCAAGAGUGGAAUUGAAACUCUCCACAAAGUUUGAAGUGUUGGAAUCAUUACAUACAUUAGGAUCAAAUUUGUGUUUACUCCAACCAGCAGGAUCUCCUAGCUCUGCAAAAAAUUUCAUGACACUAUCACCACCCACUUCUUUCAGCUUUUCCAUUGCCUUCCUAUAUGUGAACUGUGAUGUGGCAUUACAAGCCCUCCAAAACAGAAUAUAGAGCAAGGGACCAGAAAAUUGUUUUUUGUAAUUUCUGGAGAUGUGUCUACAACAAUAUCUCCUCUUUACAGUUGGCCAUACNCAAUGCACCCAAUGCAUUAUGAGUAUUAUACAAUCAUAUUACACCCAAUGCACCAGUUAACAGUUAUGAGUAUUAUACAUAUCAAUGUAUAUUAUGCAAACCCAAAAAACCUCAUUUACAGGGGAGUCAAAAACUGUUAACUAUCAUACAUAAACACAUAUACACAUAUAAACUCGCACAUAUACGCAGAUAAAACCUAAAACAAUGAAUUAAGCCGCGAAAGAUAUAUAUGUAUCGAUUAUAUAGAGUAAUUGAAGGUGAAAUGCAUACCUUAUAUUUUGAUCACUGUUGAAUUAAGUAGCGAAUGGCUGUAUUGUUUUGUAUCUCGAUCAAUCCCCUCCGUGCAGCAGAACCCUAAUCCUGUGUGCGUGUUUGAUUCUGUGACAUUAAACCCUCGUACCCGACUAAUGACCCAAAUAGCUGUUUUUUUACUUUUAAUUCAUUUUAUUUUAAUUACUUUUUUUAAUUAAAUCAUAAUGGAUUAACGUUUUAUUAACGUUAACUAAACGGAGUGGUAUGUGCUGGAUGAAGUCAAAAGUUGGGUGUUACCAUUUGGAAGCCCAAAAUAGUCAUUGGUACCAUUUGGAAAAGCCAAUUCUACAAUGGUACCAUUAGGAAUUUCCCUUAAAAGAUUAAACCACAUUAGAGUAAUAUGAUAUGUAUAUGUUCACAAGAGAUACCAAUGAUUUACGAUGUCAUUUCUUCAUGUAUUUGAUGAUGUUGGAAUAUUAUGUCACUUUAUUAGUAAUAUUAUUCAUUUUCUCUUUAUUUUACAUGUGCUGGAGAAGAUGAAAUUUUCAUGGAGAAGUAAAAGGUUAUGCUCGUAGAAGUCACACUUCAGAAAGAUAUUCUCGGAUCUUUGUGCUAGUUCAUAUACAAUUAAAUCUCUAUUAAUUAAUAAUGGAAUAAUAACCUUGUAAAAAUAAUACUUUUUACCAGUUUCAAUAUAAUAACAAAAACAGUAUUUCUAUAAAAAUAAAGUCGGUGAAUUAUUUUUUCCUCUUCGACCCAAAACUAUUACUCCCUCCGUCCCACAAUACAUGUUUCUUUUGGAAGAAUUUUUUGUCCCAUCAUACUUAUCCAAUUUUAGUUUCCAAUGCAAAUAUAUUGGCAUUAUUCCAAAAUUACCCUUCUUGAAAGUUGUAUAACAAUUAAUAAGGGUUGAAUAGGAGUCUACAUUCAUACAUUAUUAAGGGUACAAGUGAGAAAUUUUUAUCUAAUUAAUGUUUUCUUAAUAUGCGUAAAUUUUUCAAAAGAGACAUGUAGUGUAAGACAGAGGGAGUAUUUUAAAGAUCCACAAUUUCUCGUAUAAACAUCCAAAUUUUGGUUCAGCUGGUUAAAGAGGGGACAAGUAUCUUUUUGGUUACAAGCGGUGAGAUGGUUGAAUGCUUCUGUGAAGGCUAGUCUGUUCAAAUUCACGUCUGCCAAACGCUCCUUCACUUUUAUGAUUUCAGCAUCUACUUUAACACUCUGCUUUAUGAAUUUAUCAUGUUCUCUCAGCAGCUUUUCUGGUUGCUUUCCCGCAGGGUUAUGAUCCUCUCCCGGCUCUUUCAAAUAUUUCAAAAAAUCUCGCACUGCUUCGUUGUCAUGACCCUUAAAAUUUUCUAUUGCUUGCUCAUAGGUAAUCUUUCUUGGCACCACAGCUAACAAUUUGUCCACUCUUUUGAUCAAGUCUUUAUAGUCCACUGCCACUAUUUUUUCCUUUUCUGACCCUUUAUUAUCUUUUCCCUCCAGCCUUUCAAUUUGCUCUUUCAUUGCCUUCAAUUCUGUUUCGGCGUUAGUUAUUUUUCUAUCUUUGUCUCUCCCUUUUCGUGCUAGAACCUAUUCGACUUCUCUUCUAUCUCUGCACUCCGGUCUGCCUCUGGCUCAGAACCCUUAAAUGAUGGAUCAGAUAUGCCAAACAAUGCACUGUAUGAUUCCACUUUUAAGUAGUUUCUAAGGUGAAGUAGUACAUUUUGCAACUUAUGUUCUAUUUAUAAGCUAACUCAAACACGCACAUGUAGUCGGGUUAUUCUAGACUGUUAAUUAUAAUAGGGUUUCACUGCUUAUAAGCUAAGUCAAACACGCACGUACAGUUGUGUGUUAUUCUUUAAUUAUGAUAUAGUCGGGAUGUCUUAAUUUUAGAGUCUGAGGCUAACGCUAGUUUGCACAAUCCACACAGAGUCUUGAAAAACUGCAACAAUAUAAAAUGGAAACAACAUUGAUUUGCUGCAUGAGCUAAACAAACAAAAUACGAACAUACAAUGAAAAAAUAGACAAUUCCAAUCCAAUCCCAAAUGAAGACACGCACAAAACAUAAUCCCAAACAAAGACAUGCACAAAUCAACUCAGAACACAAUUCUACUAUUCCACACCGAAUUAAAAAUUGUACGAGAUUCUUCUGGAUGCAAGCUUUACUUAAUUUCCAGACAAGUAGUCCAUAGAGAAAAUAUUAAAAGGCAACACACAGAGGAAGAAGAGAAGAUGGUCUGUGGACGAAAUAUUUUUGUGAAAUGACACGGACUUUCUCGUCUCCUGCAGCAAAUACACCAAUCAGCUUACUGUUUCUUACUGUAUGUUAUUUGCUCCUUUCACUCUUCGAAUGAAUUAUGUGCUUUCAUGACUGCAACACAUUUCACAAGUUUUGCCAACCUCGAUUCUCUUUCACCCUUGUAAGUCCACCCACGUUUGAUGAUGCCUGAUAAAUUACUCCACAUAUUUAUCAGAGCAACGUCAUCAUCACUCAAUUUAGUGUUUGAUGUACUUGUGUAGCACUUCUUAAUGUGAUCUGCAAUUGGUAUAAAUCUCGUAGCUUCACAUAUCAUCACCACUAAAUGUGUAAUAUGUUUAGCCAAAUCUUUAUGAUCAUCCUCAUCAAAUGGGUACUGAGUGAGAUGCUCAAAUGCGUCGAUUAAGGCUUGUCUGUUCACAUCAAUUUUUUUAAUCUCUUCGUUGGCAACACUGUAGGUGGCACCAGUUCCAAAAUGCUGAAGCAGCUCCCCCAAGGUUGUGGAUAUUUUGUUCAGGUCGUCACAGAACUGAUACAGAUCCUCAGCCACCGUCACUGCACUAUAUAAACUUAUAAUGCCCUUAUCUAAUUUUUCAAUUUCCAUUUUCAGCUCUUCAAUCUUCCCAUUCAUUUGCUGCAGCUGACAACAUUUCUCUUUCAAGUUUCCCGCAAGUCCCUUUUUCAACCCUCUGGUAGAUUCAUCUUCCUCGGGAAUUUCUUUUUCAAGUAAUUUAAUCAGCUCAAUCCUUUGGAGGAGUUCAUCUUUUAGCUGUGCUUCUGUUUUUGCGUUUGCUUUCUCUUUCAGCUUUUUUUCUUGUUCAGCCUUCCUUUCCGGUAUAUCUUUGGGUUUAUCUCCCGUUUUCAAUGUAACUGUUAUUUUGUAAUCAAUGGAAUCAAAGAUUUUGACUGCUCUUCGGAUCUCGUUGUUCCAAUUUUUGAGCCAUUGAUGGAAUUCACUAAAGAAGAUUAUUUGUACAAAAGAUAUAUAUUAGUAAAAAAAAUUAUGACCUCACGAGUGGCAUGCAUUUUAAUGCUUUUGUAAAUCAUAGUUUGAUAAAUUAUUUUGAACUUUUUUCUUCUGUAGAAAAUGAAAAUUUUAGGAAAAAAUUAUGCACCAAUAUUUUAUAUGCACUUUAAAAUGCGUGUCAAGUAGUUAAAAAUAUGUACCUUUCUUGUGUUUCCGCAUCUGUUCCGUGCUGCCCUUGGCCCAAAAAAACCUUAUGUUUUACUUCCAGCAUUAUCAUAAGCUUUUUCAUGGCAAUGCUGUCUGAUAUCUUACUCAGAUUUCCUAAUCUCUCUCCCCAAAAUUUUUUAAACUCGUCGGUUUCAGCAUCCGCAGGCUCACUCGCCUUCCAGGAAUACCUAUUUUUGGCCAGCCAAUAUAUCAAGUGGUCCGCUCUUUUCAACUGCUCAUCAAGUUCGGGUUCGUAAGUCUCUUCCUUUCCCCUACCUGUUUCCAUCGUCUGCUUCACUGUCUCUAGUAUUUGAACAGCGUACUCUGUUUUCUCCACUCCGUUUAUUAAAACUUUCAUCCUAUUUGUUAAUUUAUUGUACAGGUUUGUGACCAGCACCUUUUGCUUCUUUGUUUCAAAGUCUGAAACAAAUGCGCUAAUCAAUGACUGAUAUGAUGGACCCAAUUUAACUUUUUUUAGCUCGUCUGCAAUACAAAAACACAACUCCAAAUCAAACAGAUAAUAUUAGGAUACAACAUAAGACCUUAACCAAAAAUAUAUAUCUUACAGGAAGUUUGGAAUUGCUUAAGAUACUCAACAGCUGCAGCAGUCGUCUUAACAUCUUUCUCCUCGCUUAGAAUAAUCCAGCAUUCAGCAUUGUCAUCUAUCUCCGUCUCAUCAUCAUUGGAUUCAGCAUUGUCAUCUAUCUUCCCCUUAUCAUCUUUAUUCACAGUAGCUUCUUCCUUCUUCGGUUUAUAUUCCCUUCUGUAUCCGACCAAGUACAAACUACUUUUGUGUAUCAAAAUGUGCAAAUCGUAUUGCUCAUAAGUUAACUUUACUUGGAAAAACUUUUCAGCUGAACUGAUGUUACCUUCAAUUAAGGUUUCUACAACAGAAACUUUACCAAGGUUGUCAUCAAUCACUUCAGUAACAAUGCUUUCUACCCCAAGACAUGAUUUGAUUUUGUCCUCGAUGUCUUCAAGUGUCUUAGAUUCUCGAGUGCCACUAAGUUUCCGAUUUGGAUUUAGUGGCUUAAAUUCAUCGAUAAUGCUUUUGAUGAACUUACCGUAUUCAUCACCGUCGUCUUUGCUAAGGUCUAGAAUAUGCUGUUUAUCUUCAUCAGAUAAAACCACAGUGGGAGGAGAGUGUGUUUUUGUCAUAUAAGCUUUCAAGAUAUUAGAAAGUGAAGAAAGAUGCAGUGUUCGUCUUCAUUAAAUUAGCCCACUUUAUAGUUUUUACAAGUCUUACUGGAUCCUACACCUGAAAGUCUGCAAAAUAAUACUCCCUCCGUCCCACCAGAUUCUUUACAGUUUCCUUUUUGGGAUGUCUCAUCCAAUUCUUUACAUUUCAAAACUUACCAAAAAUAGUAAAUGGGUCCCACCACUUUCCAACUUUUUCUUCCUUUUCACACUACUUUUACUCCCCUUUCACACUACUUUUACUCCACUAUCUCUCUUUUAUACAUUAAAAAUUGAUGGGUCCCGCCAUUUCACCCACUUUUCUUUCUCUUUUCCACUACUUUAUACAUAUUUCUUAACCUCCGUGCCCAAACCAAACGUAAAGAAUUGGCUGGGACGGAGGGAGUAACAAACUGUUUAAGGUAUGUAAAAGUGUACGAAUAAUCUUAUUAUUGAACACAAAUUGUCACUGCUUUUUUCUUUUUGCCCUUUGAAGCCGAAAGACACGCCAUGAAUGAUCAUUCCCAUUAGUACUGUAAGUUGCUUGUCAGGAAAAAGGAAAAACAAGUAUAUGAAGCAUGGAUUAUUCAAAUUAAGUUGCGCCGAUUGUUCAUACUGUCGCGCUCAUUUGUUUGAAUUUGGUGAGUUAGAAAUUAUAUAAAUUACUGGAAAAAAAUGUUGGGAAUCAAUUAUUUUAUCCAUCACACAAGUCUGUCAUGGAAAUGAUGAUAUUGGUGAAAAGAUUAUGAUAUAAUUAACUUUUCAGUUGUUACCAAUUAUAACAGAAAUGACGCUUUAUUAUCAAGCAAGUUUCUCUCUUUCUUUCGUCAAAAGACAAGCAAAUAAUUAUAAUAGACAUGAGACUUCAUUCUCAAGCUUCUCUCUUUCUUUCGUCAGAAGACAAGUAUACAAGAGCAUCUCCAGCACAGUCCCAACAUGUUCCCUAAAUAUAUAAUAAAAUAUGUAUUUUGUAAGGGAUUAUUACUACAUUUUAUUCAAUGGAAACUCCAACAACAUUCCCUGUUUGUAUUCUCUAUUAUUAUUAUUGUAACAUUAUAUUCAACUUGUAAGUAGGAGAGAGAAAUGAGAGAAAAAGUGGGAAAAAGGAGAAAAGUGAAUAUUUUAUUAUUCAAAAUAGUAUGAAGAAUGGUUCCACAGUCCUUAAAAAUGAGGAAUGAAGUGGACAUUCUAACUUUUUAAGGAAUUGCUAGGACUCUACUCGAGUUGUGUUUUAUGUCCUAUUCUUUAUUAUAAUAGUUUAGGACAUCAUAUAGCUAAGCCGUUGGAGAUGCUCUAAAAUAGCAAACAAUAUGACUCGUAUUCCUUAUUUGUUAAAUCGUCAAAAUAUAUUUAAUUACGUUAUUUAUAUUUUAUAAUAUGACUUUCCCUAUUUGCUAAAUAUGUCAUCUCUAAUAUCUUCAAAUUUUCAAAAUGCAGUCAUGCUUUAGUUAAAGUUGAUACCAUUCUUUUCAUGGCAGAAAACAUGGUGAACACUUGAGUGCUCCUUGCCCCAGCCAAAAGGAAAAAGUAUGAAAAUGAGUAAUCGGUGUGUAUCCUUAAAUAUAACACGCCGGCUUUUAUAUUUGCGCACUCACUAUCGCUUCCUAGUACCAUGGUUGAGUUAUUUUUCUGGUUGUCAGGCUUUGGAACUUUCUAAGGCACCCUAUUGUUUCGUUGGCAGUGAUGCAAAAGCUGCUGCCAGAUAAUGAGGUCGUUUGGACAAUUUUAAAAAAAGUGAUUUCUCGCUUAAACACUAUUCAUUCACGUCUGCCAUAUGUUCCUUCACUCUUAUUAUUUCAGCAUCUCCUUUAACACUGUUCUCCAUGGAUUUACGUUGCUCUUACGCAGGCUUAUGAUGAUCCUCUGGCAGCUCUUUUAAAUAAUUUAAAAAAUCUAGCGAUGCUUUGUCGUCGUUACCCAUAAGUAAUAUCUCUUGGAACCAUAGCUAACAAUCUGUUCACUCUUUCAAUUGUUGGGCCGUAUUAAUCUAAACAUAUUUAUGAGCUUACUGCACUUUGCAACCCUCUACUUUGCUCGAAAAACACUUUGGUACAUAGACUUUGAAACGUGUCAGUUCGCCUCAUUAACUUAUAAUUAUCCUGCAGUUUGCACCCGUUAAUCGUUUUCCGUCUGUGGUCAAACUGUCAACGUUAAAUUGGAGGAUAAAACUGUAAUUUCACAUUUUAAAUUAAAAGAAAAAAGAAAAUACAAUCGUGCAUUACUCUCGAGCUCAUAGACACUUCGCUUCACUUCCCUCCAUCCCCAAAUAUCACUUUCCCUCCUUCCUGCUUUCACCCACCAUUCUGUACGAGUUUGAAGAUCGAUUUGGAGUUUGAAGAUCGAUUUGGAGUUUGAAGAGGGAAACAAUGCGAGGUCGUCUACGAGUUACCAGUUUCGCUGAUGAUCCUUUAAAUGGCUCCAGCAAUAUGACCUCUUACAAGGGCUUCGAAAUCCCUAAAUAUGGAGGCAAGUUUCAUCUUUGUUCAUCUAUUUUAUAUGUAUUUUGAUUGCGCGAACUAUUUUGCAUGCAUGUGGUUGUUUUUGUUAGGGUUAGGGUUUAUUGAUGUCCGAUAUAUAUUGUUUAUUGUAGUGGACUGUGGUCCCUUUAUGUUUGCUUUUUUAUAUUUGUUGUUGACAGUGGGUUGUUGCCUUCUUUGAAUACUAUUGAAUUUUUUUGCCUAAAAUAGCAUUUUCCCCCUUUAAAUCGCCUCAAUUUAAUGUAGUAACAUGGCUGAAUUUGUUAUGUUCUGUAGAGCAAUCACGGUACUUUACAAUUGCACUGCAUCACAGUGGAGAUUUUAAUGAGACUUCUACAGAAUAUGUUGGUGGCAAGCUUGACUAUUUUGACAUGUGUAGUGUACUGGAUAUGACAAUGUCUGAGAUAAAUGCAAUGAUUGGGGAAUUAGGUUUUUCUGCUGAUGAUACUCAAUUGUAUGCAUUGAUCCCAGAAAAUAUAUUGCCAGAUGGUUUAUACCCUUUAGAAAGUGAUACUGAUGUGGACUAUUUAACAACUCUAGUGGAAUACACUCACUGUCAAAUUGUAUAUGCCACUAAGAGAAGAAUUAAUGUUGCACAUGAUCUUAUGGACUUUUCAUUUACUCAAAUGUAUGAAGAUGAGAGGGUGGAUAGAAUAGAGAAGAUGAGAGAUGAAGUAGAACCUAUGGAAAAUGACAGUGAAUCUGAGAAUGGUGAUAGUCAGGAUGAAGAAGAAAAUGUUGGAGAUGAAGAAAAUGAGUGUGACUAUGGUGAUUUCAAUAGUAACAGUGACAUAGAGAAUGAUUAUGAAGAUUCUGAAGAUUCUGAUUAUGUUUGUGAUGAGAUUACUGAUGAAGUUACUGAAAAAGAGGAGAAAGAAAAGCAUACUACUAGUGAGCCAGCAGUUAAAAGGAGGAGAAGAAUACCUCCACCCAACCCUCCAUACAGGACUAGAAAAAGAGGGAGAUAUUCUAUGCUAAGAGUAAGUUUCAUUGCAUUUAUAUUCUAUUUAUGUGAAAUUUAUGUGCUUUUCAUUGGAUUUAUGUGAUAUUUUAUGUCUUUUUUGAUGCAGGGUUUGUUUAAAAACACUGAAGAUACACCUGUUAUUGUGGAUGAGGAAGAUGAUCAGCAUGUUCCAGAUGAUAAGAAGGGUAAGAACAGAUGUGUUGAUUUAAAAGGAAAGAACAAGUCUGUUGAGGUAAAAGGAGAGCCUAAGAAAUUGGCUAAAAAUCCCAGAGGUAAGAAGAGUAGCCCUCUUAAGAAGUCCAGACCUCCAAGCAAAGGGAAGAAUGUGGUGAAUCCUAGACCUAGUGCUUUGAAGCAACCUCCAAGCAAAGGGAAGAGUGUGGUGCAUUCUGCAAAGAAAAAAAACAAGAGAGUCAGAUUUAAAACUUCUGACACAGAAGAGGAUGAGGAGAAGAAAUUUGAAGAUGAGGAUGAUGAGAUUGCAGAAGAAAGUGGCAGUGAGAGCUCAGAAAGUUUAUAUGACAGUAGUGAGGAAAGAAUUGCAUUGAGUUCCCGUGAUGAAGAUGAUUCCACAUACCCUGAAUUUAAUGAAGAAAUUGAUAUGGAUGACCCUCAGUUUAAAAUAGGGAUGCUUUUUAUAAAUGGACCAGCUUUUAGGGCUGCUAUAAGAAAGCAUGCCAUUGUCAAUCAAAGGCCAGUUAGGUUGAGGAAGAAUCAUGGUAAAAGGAUCAAGUGGAUUUGUUCUGGAGGGUGCAAGUGGAAAGUGUAUGCAACACAACAACAAAGAUCUUCAAGUUUCCAGAUCAGGGCUCUCCAUAAACAGCACACAUGUAAUCCUACCUGGGACCAGAAGCAAGUAAAUUCAACCUGGAUUGCUAGGGAAUAUGAAGAUGAGAUCAGGAUGAACCCUGAUUGGCCAGUAGCUUCUUUUAGAUCCAAAGUUGUGAAUGAUUUAAAGUGCAAUAUUAGUGAUUCAAUGAUCUACAGAGCUUUGAGAAAAGCAAAAGAGGUGAUUAAAGGGAAGCAUGAAGAAUAAUUCAAGAAAGUAUAUGACUAUGGCAAUCAAUUAUUGAAGGAGAUGCCAACUUCCACUGUGAAAGUUAUGACUGAACAUGAAGCAGAUGCUACAAGGUUUAAGAGGCUGUAUGUAUGUCUAGGGCCACUGAAAGAGGGGUUUAUACACUAUUGUAGACCCCUUAUAGGUUUAGAUGGAUGCCAUUUGAAGGGUCCAUAUGGGGGAAUACUUUUAACCGCAGUAGCCACUGAUCCAAAUGAUGGUAUUUUCCCAUUAGCUUGGGCCUGGGUAGAAGCUGAAAAUAAUGAUUCUUGGGAGUGGUUUAUUUCCUUGCUGAAAGCUGAUUUAAGGAUUGAAAAUUCAGGGGCAUAUACCUUCAUAUCUGACAGGCAGAAGGUAAACUCUAUUUAUGUGUAUUUUUUGCUAAUUAAUGUACAUAUCUUUGUGUGGUUUCUAUGCUUAAUAAUCUGGUUUUAACAGGGACUUGUGAAUGCUCUGGAAGCUCUAGUUCCACAGGCAGAAAUGAGGUUCUGUUGCAUGCAUUUAUAUGCAAAUAUGAAGAAAGAACACAAAGGCACUGGAGUAAGGAGGUUUCUAUGGUAUGCAGCAAGAGCAACUAGUGAGUAUUAUUUCAAGAAAAACAUGGAAGCUUUGCAGAAGGUAUAUAUCUAUAUCUCCAAGCUUUGCAAAUUUCCUAACAAUAACUAUAUCUCCUAAUUGUUUUGCAAAUUUCAUAACAAUUUAUGAUAGCUCAAUGCUAAGGCCUAUGAAUGGUUGAGUGCAAGACCUAGAAGUCAGUGGAGCAGAAGUGGUUUCAGGGAACAUUGCAAAUCUGAUAUGUUUGUAAACAAUAUAUGCGAGGUCUUCAAUAAUGCCAUAUCCAAAUAUAGAGAUAUGGGCAUCAUUACAAUGUUCAAAGGAAUCCACCUCAGUUGCAUGCAAAGGAUACAAAAAAGAAAAGCCAAGAUGGAAAAGAGGAAUGGCAAGUGGUGUCCAAAUGCAAUUAAAAUGCUCAACAGGUACACACUAUAAUCUCUACACUGUAUAAAAUGCAUAUAAUUGCUUAUAAAUCUGUAGACUGUAUAAAAUGCAUAUAAUUGCUUAUUAAUUAGACUAUUUUACAUAUUGAAGCUCAAUCAAAUUAGCCGCGAAAGCUAGGCCAGUUUGGAAUGGUGGUGACAAAUAUCAUGUCACCAUGACAGUAGGGGGCCAUGAGAUAGUUGUUGACUUGAAUAACAGGACAUGUGCUUGUAGAAGAUGGCAAUUAACAGGCAUUCCAUGCCAUCAUGCUGUUUCAUGCAUUUAUUUCCAAAAACAAAAUCCAGAAGACUAUAUACAUGCCUGCUAUGAAAGGGAGAAAUUCAUAGGCUUGUAUAGCAAUCUUCUAGAACCAAUCAAUGGUGAAGAAUUCUGGGAAGCUACAAAUCAGCAAAGUAUCCUUCCACCAGUUAUUAAAGUAGCUCCCGGAAGGCCAAAAAAAAAGAGAGAUAGGAAAAAUGAUGUUGUAGAAACUAGGGAGAAUGAUCCUACCAUGCUCAAACGGAAGGGGACCACUUUAUCGUGUGCAUGGUGUAAGGAGUAUGGCCACAAUGUUAGGAGUUGUAAAACGAAGGGAUGUUCAUGUCUUUCACCUGCUAUUUAUCGUGUGACCACUUUAUCGUGUGCAUUGUUUGUUGUUUUUUUGUUGCAGAAACUUGAAAUGGCAAGAAAAUCACAGGAGGAAGGUGAAAAUACUGAAACUACUGCUGCAGCCCCAGUCCAGGAAAAUGCAAGUAAUGAAGCUACAGAAAAUAAUGCAGCAUUCUCAGUCGAAAGAAAGAAGAAGACUUGUUCCUAUUGCAAGAUUGCAGGACACACUGUAAGAUCAUGUUCUGCAAAGGUAUUCAUUCUUUUGCUACAUCUUUUAAAUAGUGUUUCUUUUGCUAGAUUUGUUCUUAUUUUCUUUCAUUUUCGACUAGAAAAAUGAUGAAGCUUUUGAUGGGGAGGGGGUGAUGGAUCAUGGAGAGAACCUUGUUCAGGAAGCCAUGUCAGCUACUCACACACAUGCCGGAAUUGUCAACCAAUUUCGAGCACCUAGACAAUAUCCAGGGAAGGCUCCGUUAGGUGUUGAACCUGAAAAUUACAACACAAAGGAUGGGAAGAUGUACACCUCUCAGAGGAAGCUGACAGAGGCAUUGCAAAAGAAGAAGAAAGAGGUCGAAGCUAAAAGGCCAGAGAAGUAGUUGUGUUCAUGUUCAGUAGCUAAAAUGUGGCUUCUUUUGGAACAAAAAAUUGUGCCAUAUCAUUUUGUCAGUUAUUUGAUGUCUGAUAUCAUCAAUUUUAGCAUCCAGACUUAAACAAGUUGCUCCUGUGAAGCAUACUUUUGUUGGAAUAUUGAAUAUUUUGUUGGAAUGUUGGAUAUUUUGUUGGAAUAUUGAAUAUUUUGUUGGAAUAUUGAACCAUUUCGCUUCUUAAACUUGUACCAUUACAGUACAAUAUUCAAGAUGAGAACAAUACAGGAAAUUAAGAACAUACAAGCUACCAUACUACAUUUCUGCCUCACUUUUUUUAGAGAACAAAUACACGCAAAUUAUAAUCCAAGUCAAUAGCAAUAGUAAAGCAGUUUUGUUGCAUGGCAUGUCCGUCUUUUGCUUCUUCACUUCCAAAGCCUUCACUUCACCUUCAAGGACAUUAAUCCUUCUUAUCAGGCCGGGUAUUAUCAUCCUAGCACGUUCACAAAGCGGACCAUCGACCCAACGAAAGUAAUUACACACCUGAUCCGGACAUCCAGCAAAUCUUUUUCCGCUGUUUAUUUCCGUCCAAGCUGUGCGAACAACCACCCAUUUAUUACAGAAGCAUCGCUCAGCCAUAACAAAAAGAUUUAAGAGAAGAAGAAGAUAUAUGCAGUAUACAAAUGCUGCAUCACCCACAUAUAUAUAUGAAGUAGUGCUGCCAAAAAGAGCCGUUAGCUUUUUGAACAAUUAACGUUAAUUGGCCAAUGUAACGGUCAGGGGCAAACUGCUAACGGUUUCAAAAUUAAUGAGGCAAACUGACACGAUUCAAAGUCUAUGUACCAAAGUGUUUUUCGAGCAAAGUAGAGGGUUGCAAAGUGCAGUAAGCUCCAUAUUUAUUUAUUUAGCUAACAAUCUGCUUAAUUUUUAGGAAAAAAAAAAAACAGUCUGCCAGCACUUGUUAACGUUGGUAUGUUUGAAUAAGUCUCAGGUAGUUACCUGGUUUGUAGGAGUGUGGGUAGAGUCAGUUAUCUGAUUUGUCUGCUUUCCAUAUCAAGCUCUUCCUUUCUCCACUAAACCUAACCCUAAUUCACAAUUAUUAUCUUAAUUGUGAUUUGUAUGUGUAACCAACAUCAAGCUCUUUAUUAUCUUUUCCCGCUUUCAGUUUUCUCUUUUAUUAGCUUCAGCAAUGGCGGCCAAGAGAGGAGCUCUUCUCACAAUGACUUGUUUCAGCUUAAGGCCUCUCAGUGUAAGCCCCUGUUCUCUCUCAUCCUCUCUUUUUCGUUCUCAUUUUCUUCUUUUCUCUACUAAACCUCACCCUAAUUCACAAUUUAAAGCCCCCUUUAUUCCUUCUCCAUCCACCACUCAUCCCAAACUUAAACAAUUACUCUAUCAUAAAUCUAAAGUUGGUUUUGAUAAACUCGAAGAUGCUCUUCUUCUGUUCGAUAAAAUGCUCCGUCUGAAAUCUAGGCUUUCUGUUGUGCAUUUCACACAACUGUUAACCGCCCUCGUUCGAAUGGAAAAGUACUCUGUUGCCGUCUCCAUGUUUAGAGAAUUCCGUGUUUUAAGCAUUCCUGUUGAUAUUGUUACCUUUAAUACCGUCAUCCAUUCCUGUUGUCACUUGAAUACACUUGAUUAUGCCUUUUCGUUGCUUGCUGGAAUCAUCAAGAGUGGUUGGGUACCCGAUGUCUUUACCUACAACACUCUCAUCAAGGGCCUUCUAUCUCAAGACAAGCCUUUGGAGGCUGGGGAUUUGUUUAAGAAGCUUAUCACAUUUCAAGAAAUUCAGCCCAAUGUAGUUAUGUAUAACACCAUCAUUGAUGGUCUCUGCAAAACUUCAAAUACCUCCAUGGCUCUCAAGUUAUUAAGAAAGAUGGAGGAGAUAGGUUGUAACCCCGAUGCGGUAACUUAUAACUCCAUUAUUGAUUCUUUGUGCAAAGAGAGACGAGUCGAUCAAGCAUUGGUUCUUGUGUCUGAAAUGACCGGCAAAGGCAUACCACCCAAUGUUAUAACAUAUAACACGCUACUUCAAGGCCUUUGCAGCUCCGGCCGAUGGGAGGACACUGAGUGUUUGUUAACUGAGAUGGGUGUUAGGAAGAUCUCUUCAGAUUUGCACACCUAUAAUAUAUUAGUCGAUGCAUACUGCAAAGAAGGGAGGACAACAUAUGCAGAAGAUGUGAUUGAAAUUAUGAUCCAGAAAGGUGUGCCUCCUGAUUCAAUCACAUACAAUGCACUGAUGGAUGGUUAUUGUUUAACAGGCAAAAUGGACAGGGCACUAGAGGUGUUGAAUUACAUGAGGAGUAAUGAGAUAUGGCCAGACUGUUAUAGCUAUACCAUUCUGAUAAAUGGCUAUUGUAAGAGGCAGGAACUAGACAAAGCCAUCAGUCUCCUCAGACAAAUGUCUGCUGAAGGUCUGAAACCUGUAGUUGAAACCUACAAUACACUGAUGCAUGGUCUCUUUCAGAUGGGCAGACAUAAUGAGGUGGACAACCUUUUCCAUGAAAUGCUAAAAGAAGGUAAUAAACCAAAUAUUGUGACAUGUCGAAUUUUGUUGGAUGGCCUUUGCAAGAACCGAUACAUGGAUGAAGCAAUUUCCUUCUUUCGAGUGAAUGAAUGUAAAGGUAUAGUUCAUGAUAUUCAAAUACAUAAUAUCCUAAUUGAUGGUCUCUGCAAGAACAGAAAACUUGACGAGGCCAGAAAUAUUUUUGAUAAGCUUGCUUCGAGUGGUCUGCAACCCAAUGUCAUGACACACAAUAUAAUGAUCAGAGGACUGUGUCAAGAAGGGUUAUUUGAGGAAGCAAAGGAAUUACUUUCUAAAAUGGAAACAAGCAUUUGUUUGCCUGAUGAUGUGACCUAUAAUAAGAUCAUCCGUGGAAGUCUUUUGAAUAAAAGAUAUGAAGAAGCAGCGGCUCGUAAAUUCUCAGAAGAUGCAUCCACCACAUCCAUGGUACUAGACCUAUUAUCUAAAGAACAGGACCCCUCCGUUCUUGCUUUCUGCAAAUGGUUUUUGCAAUAGGUACUGAAGUUUAUGGUUCAUUGUUAUGUAUUGUAUUGUCAUCUUUUAACUUCCUUAAGUUUUCUGCUGUAGUAAUAUGUUUUACUGAGCAAAGAAUUACUCUAAUUAGCAAUGUAAGGGGUUGCAUCAGUUUGUUAAGAGCUAAUAGACAAUAUAUUUGGGAUGGUAAGACUAUGUCUUCUAUUUGUAUUGAGUACGGUCUAUGUUCAAGUUGUCAUUCAGAAUUGAAACUUUGCAUCUCGAUGCCUCUCAUAUACAGAAAAAGAAAUCAGCAUUUGAAAAUAAUAAAAGAAGCCUAUGUAUUCAGAUAACUUUAUUCUGGAUAUACUCUCUAGCCCAUAUUUUGGCUUUCACAAACAAGCUCAUUUUUGAUAACAUAUUGGCAUUUUUCACCAUGGUGAGAGGGUAUCCAUUUAACAGUAAUAACAAGGUAACCACUAGAUUGGUGACAGGUUAGGUCCAGUUAUUGUAAGUUCAUCACCAUAUUUGAUUGAUAUUUACUGUUAUUUCCUAUGAUUGUGGCAAUUUGCUUCUCUUGCUCUACUUCAUGCUGGUCUUGCCUAUCACUGCGGAAAGUCAGCAGUUGCUGUUGGCCUCGUAUUGUUGCUGAAGUCGGCAUCUAUUCGGAUAUCUAAGAAUCUAAGGUUGUGUUCACUUGGAGUGAAUGGAAUGGGGGGAGAAUGAAAUGAAUUUUGUACUCAAAAAUGGUGUUGAUCAAAGAAAAUGUAUACAAUUUUCAUUCCUUCAAUCAUUUCAUCCCUACUAUUUUAACUAAAAUUCUAUCCUACAUGUUUUGGAAGGAAUGCUCAUUCCAUCUCUACAUCAUAUUUCUUUACAAUCUUUAUCACAAAAAAAUUGAACUCAUUCAUAUUUAGUCACUAUUAGCUCAUACUUUCUUCUUUCUCUACAAAAUUUCUAUAUAAUUUUUCAUUCCAUUCUCCCCUCAUUCCAUUCCAUCCAAGUGAACACAGCCUAAGGGUGUGUGGGGAUUGUCAUAUUGCAAUGACAUAUUUAAAAAAAGGUUUUUGAGAGUCAUAAUAUAUUAAGGGACUCAAAACUGUUCCCAGCAUUUCAAUGAAGAAAAAUGUUCUUGUGGUGAUUACUAGUACGAAGUUCUUAUAAUGUAUUUCCUCUCCAAUUUAUAUCUUGGUCAAGAGAAUGGAGGGAUCCAUUCCUUAACUCAUUGGUGUAUGAUAUAGACAUUGCAAAAUCAAACUCUGCUUGCACCCAUCCCGCUUUAACGUGAAGACGUAAGAUCACAAUCUUCCUGCUUUGUUAUGGCCCCUGCAGCUAAAUGUGUAUUCAGGUUAAAUCUGAAGGCACUGGAUGCCUCCCAUGACAGUUGAACAGGAGCGUAAUGUACAAUGGCACUGAGUUACAUUGAAGGUAUGUCAAAACUUUUUUCUUUUGACAAUUACAUAGCCCAGUAGAAAUAGUGUGUAGUGCAAAACUAAUGAAAAUGCGAUUGAUAAGUAAACAGAAUGGAAGGCAAAUUCAGUUUUCUUGUACUGAAUUUUGGUUCUUAUCAUCAUAUACCAGAGUAAUAUGCGACAAAAGCAAAUCAUUUGAUCCGUAAAUAUUUCUUAAAUAUCGGCUCUUGGAGUGUUUAUCUCAUCCUAUCAAUUUCCAGUGCAAUAUUAUUACCGUAUUGAAGCAAUGACUGAUAUAUCUUGACAUUUAAAUGCCAUAAUCGCUGAACUGACAGAUCAUUUCAUAAUCUGUGCACCACAAUUCCGAAUUAAUUUACCCAGCUAAUAGCGAAUGUGCUAUUGCUUGAAGAAAUAUCACAGACUUAAAAGCAUAUUUCAUGUUUUUUAGAAUAAAAAAUUAAAGUUUAGUAGAAAAAACAUGCACACAUCAGCAUAUAUAAAGCAUUUCAAGUUCACUUAUAUAAGAAAAUAUUUCAAAUUUAAUGGAGUUUUUAAUUGCUGACAAGGACAAGUAGUACAACAAUACACAAUUCACACAGUCUUCAGAAACAGCAACAACAUAAAAUGCAAACAACACUUUGUAGUUUGUAGUACCAAAUUCUUCCAAAUGCCAGCUUUGCUUUCCAGGCACAUAGUCCUUACACCCUGCUCCCGAGUUUUAAGUAGGGAGGAAAGCAAGUGAAGAGGAAGUAAAAUUAUCUAACUUUCACUCCUAUUCGUGCUCCCGAGUUUUUUAAAGGGACGAAAGCAAGUGAAAGUGAGUGCAAAUAUAGCAUAUUUUCACUCCAAAAGUGGGAUGAAAGUGAAAGCAACUUGCUUUCACUUACAUUCACUUGCUUUCCCUCCUAAAAAAAACUCGGGAGCAAGACCUUAGAGUCGCUAGCUGACCAGGAUCUGCAGAGAGGAAUAUUUUUUGGAUUGACGCGGACUUUCACUCCUCCUGAAACCAAAUAAUUGUUGCAAGGAUCUACUGUAACAGUUUUAGGCCUUAUGGAUACAUUUUUCAGCCGUUGCAACAGGUGAAAUAUGGUGUAGUGUGUAUUUACAAGUACACACUUUACAUUUAACUCUUUUAAUUAUUUCCAUAUAAAAGUGUAAAUUGAUUCUAUGUAUAUUAUUUUACUUAUUGGUUUGAAACUCUUCAAAUAUUUUUUAAUAAAUAAUUGUUAAAUAUUAACAUAUAUUUAUAUUUUAAUAUUUAGAUUACAAGUUAAAUGUCAAAUGUAAGGAUAUAUCAAAUUUAAACAAGUCAAAACUCGUUUCAAAAUUUAUUAGUUACAAAUAAAAUAUGUUGUUAUUAUAGGUAUGCAAAAUUCAUACUCAAUUAGAUCGACUAAUCACGAAAUUUAGAUCAAUUUAAAAUGACAUAAUUCGAGUUGUCAUUUUAAAUUUUCAACUUUAUGUUAGUAUGAUUAAUGCUACGUAUCCAAAUCUUCUCGCAAAAUUACGCAAAUAAAAUAUUUUAAUUGGAUGGUUUAUGUGCAUACAAAAGUCAUGUUAUUAGAAAAUUUUGAGAAUAAUUUUUGAGUAUUUACUAUUUUUCUACUAGUAUUUAAUGUGUUGGAAAAACACAAAUCCAAGGUGUAUUUAAACAUUUCAUUUGAUGAAAUCUAGAAUUUAAAUGAAAUUGAAGUGUAAAAAAUAUUACAAACUCAAUGAAAGAUUUAAUUGCCAUGGAGUCGUGGAUACACUUCUUGAUAAUAGAAUCCGUGUAUAAAUAUAACAGUUCACAAUUCACACAAACUUGAGAAAUAGCAGCAACAUAAAAUGAAAACAAACAAACAACGAUAAUUUGUUGCAUGAUCUUAACAAACAAAACAUGAAUGGACAAUCAAAAUGAACACUUCCAAGCCUGAACAAAGGCAUGCACAAUCACAAUCUCCAACAUAUAAUCAAUUCAGAACAAAAUCUUAUUCCACACUAAAUUAUAACGAGUAGUAGGUGAUUCUUCCGAAUAUACGGUACUAAAUUAUAACGAGUAGUAGGUGAAAGAAAUUUGUGAGUCCUCGCUAACAAACUAGGACCGAGAGGAAUAAUUUUUGGAUGUCUUUCUCCCCUCCUGCAGCAAAUAUAGCAAGUAGGAGGGUAAAUACGAGGGAGGAUGAAACGAAUAAAUAAACACAAGAGAUGAAAGAGUAUCACCGUGUAAAAAGACUGCGGAACCAACUAUACAGAACUACAACUUACUGUUUGAUAGUUGCUCCAAUUAUUCUAUAGAUACUUCUCUAAUAUACAUGCCCUUGAUGACUUCCGGAUCAUCUCCCAGCAAACUUGUUUCACCAGCGUACCACCCCCCACGUUGCAUUAAGGCUGAUCUAUGACUCCAAUUAUACACGGAAGUAAUACAUUUUUCAGAUAAAGAAGCAGUACGUGACCUUAUGGGUUGUUUCGAGGUAAUUGUUUGAAACAUGCUCUUUGACAUGUGGAAAUCUCGCAGCUUCACAUAUCAUUAUGGCCAACUUUAUAAUAUGAUUAGCGGUUUCUCUCUCGUUCUCACCAAAUGAGGACUUGGUGAGAUACUCGACUGCUUCUGUGAAGGCUAGUCUGUUCAACUUCACUUCUGCCAAACGAUCCUUCACAGCUUUGAUUUCAGCAUCUGCUCUAACACUCUGCAUCAUGAAAUUAAAGACAUUAUACUUUUCUUUAAGCUCUUUAUAGAACUUAGCCUGCUUCUCUUCGUUCACCGCUUUAUGAUAUUGUUCUUUCAGUUUAGUUUUUUUUGAAAAAAAACCUUCCCGUGUUUCGUCAUUGGUGGGGUUCGUUUCUGGUGGUCCAUCAACUAUAUCAAAAUUUUUUUUUAGCAUUUUCUUCAGCUUGAACAGGGCUUCAUGUUCCUCUCUCCAGUUUUCUGUUUCCUUUACCCCAUCAGUAUCCAUUUUUCCAGCAGUCAAGCUACGCAAGAUGGCGACUUUCUUCUUGAACACCUUUCCCCACAAAAUUAGCGAUUCUUGGGAGAAGGGUUUCCUAUAUAAAGUACAAAAAUUGUUUACAUAAAAAUAAAGUAAUCAAAAUUUUGGUUAAUAAAAAAACCGUGAGAGUACCAUCACAGUUUAAGAACAAAACUCAAAGUAGUACCUCGGGCUGUCAUGUAUUUUCUGCAGCUUUUUAAUUAGCUUUUCAGCAAGGAUAUGAUCCGCUUGCGGCUUUUUUAAAUGAUUCAAAAAAUCUCGCGCUGCUUUGUUGUCAUCACCCUCAAGUUCUGUUUCUACAUGCUCACGGGUAAUUUCGUUUGGCACCAUUUUUAACAACGUGCUAACUCUUUUGAAAUCUCCAUUUUCCUCCGGGUUUGAAUGAUACCUUUCUAUAUUCAAUUUUAAUUCCGUCAAUUUUUCUUGGGCGUAUUUUAUGUUUCUCCCUUGUUCUCGCUUUGCUAUUCCUUGAAAGUUAUCCAAUCUCUGUAUCAAAUUCUCAUAAAGGUUUGACUCUCGCGCAGAUUCAUGAAAUGACGGAUCAUAUUUGCCAAACAAGUUAGUGUAUGAUGUACCCAGUGUAACCUUCUUUAGCGAGUCUGCAAUACAAAAACAAAAAGUCCGGGAUUAAAGAGAUGAAAAUCACGACGACACAAAAUCAAAUCUGAACGAAAACUGUACCCGGUGUCAGGAGCCUGACAGACGCAGCAACUUUCUUAUGGUUUUUCCCAUCUAGAACAAUCCAGUUUUCAGCACUCACCUUUCCAUCUUUUUCCUUAUAUUUACCCUUGUACCCGACUAAGUAGAGAUUAUUUUUCUUUAUCAAAAUGUCCAAAUCGCGAUCGUCAUGCUUUAACCUUAAUUGGAAAAGCCAAUCCGCUUUCCCAUUCUUAUCCGUCAACUCAUCUUUCUUAUAUGUUCGCCGAACUCUCUUCAUGUCAGUGUCAGGGGCCUUACCUCCAAGGAGCUGUGACUCGAAACAUUUUUCAAUUUUCGGUUUCAAGUCUAUAUCAAGAAACUCUUCAUGAAAGCCCACGUCAUCAAGGCUUUUAAAAUCUCUCUUUACAUCACUUAGCGGAAAUUUCUUAAUUAAGCUUCCGAUGAACUCUUCGUACUCAUCUCCGUCUUCGUUAUCAAGGUAUAGAGUAAGCGGUUCAGAUGAAAACUCAUUGUGCUUAGUAGUAUUUGCCAUAUAAGCUUAAAGAGUUAAAGAUAUUAGAGAACAAGUGAAGAAAGAUGGUCUGUUUCUUCUCUUGAUUAAACCAACACAAUUUAUUGUUUUUACAAAGCCAUCUAGAUCCUACACCCAGAGUCUGCAAAAUACUAGUAUUAAAUUGUAUGAAGCCUGUGUCAUUUUUAUUUUAAUACAAACUAGUUUAUACGUUCUUUCAAUCUAUUCGAAACUAAUUGGAAUGUCUUCCAAUAAUUUCGAAAUGAAAAAAGAAGAAGGUAAUUUUGAAUUUUUUUUGCAAUAUAUCUAACUAAAAAGUAAUUUUUAUUUUUGAUAUUUAAAAUUCAGAAAUUCAAGAAAAUUAGAAAAAUAUAACGGAGCUAUCUGAGACGCGCUACCUGAUGAACACCUCGCUUCUAAUUAUAUUGAUUGACUAGUUGAGAAGCCGCGCGUUGCGGCGAUCUAUUGAAAUUAUAUUAAUCAUUCAAAAUUAAUAUUUGUAGAAUAAAAUAAAUUUUAUGAUAUAAACAUCUCAAUGCAAUACAAAUAUUAAUAUGUAAAAUUGGACUAUAAUUCAUGAGUGAAAAAAUGAAACUAAGUCAAACAUGCACAGGUGUUUCCGGAUUUAUAAGCUGAAGCCACAAGGAGCUGAGAGGUAGAUGUCAUAUAAGCUUGAAGAUGUUAGAAAUGAAGUGAAGGAAGAUAGUUUGUUAUUACAGGUCUUUCCGGAUUCAACACCAGCAAGUCUGCAACUACUAAUAAACUAAACUACAGAAUGCCAGUUGAUAUUUAAUAUACAAAAGGUGAUUGUGAAGUUUUGGCUUUUUGGUGUAUGAUUGAUAUUGGCUUAUUAAACAAACCGGAGCCGGCGAAAACCAAGGCUUCAACAAACAUAAACAAAAAAAGAUGAUGUGUUUCUCUUGGUUAACUAACACAAUUUAUAGUAGUUUUUACAAGCCAUCUACAUCCUACACCUGCAAGUCUGCAGAAUACUAGUAUAAAAUUGUAGGAAUCCUGUAUCAUUUUUAUUUCAAUACAAAUUAUAAGUAGUUGCCUUUGUUUUGGCUUGUGCAGUCACACACCCAUAUAUUUAUAUUCGGGUUAGUUAGAAAUUAUAUAAAAUAUUGGGAAAAAGUAAUAAAAUGAUGGCGAUUAAUUAGUUUGUUAAUCACAGUAGUCUAUCAUGGAAAUGAAGAUAUUGAUGGAGUAUAUGCCGAUAUAAUAUAAAAGUAGAGAUUUCAUUAUAAUCAACUAUAUAUUAUUAAUUUAUAAUACAAAUUAGACUGAUAUAGUUAAUAUUUAAAAGUGUAUGAACAAACAAAACAUGAACUGACAAUUCAAACAAAAUGCAUGAUCUGAACAAACAAAACAUGAACAGACAAUUCAAACAAACGGUACCGAUAGAUCCCAAACAAACGCAUGCACAAAUCAGUGAUCAACAUUGAAUCACUCAUAACACAAUCUUAUUCCAUACUGAAUUAAAACGAAUAGUAGGAGAUCCUUCCGAAUAUAGGGUAGCUUUGUUUUCGAGGCACAUAGUCCAUAUAGUCGCUAACAGACCAGGAUCUGCAGGGAGGAAUAUUUUUUGGAUUGACUCAGACUUUCUCGCUUCCUGCAGCAAAUACAGCAAGUAGCAGGGUUGAUACUAUUGCAAGCUUGAUAAGAACAUCUUGGGGUGACAUUCUGAGAUCACGAGACUAGCAAUAGCUGACAAUUGGAGCACAAUUAGUAAAGUAACGUAGUUUUUUUUUUUGAUGUAGCUGAGAAUUUUAUUUUGCUUUUUAAUUAUUAUAUACCCAUUGUUAAUUCUGAAACUCGGUGAUUAAUUACGAUUAAUCUUUGUUUCAUAUUUCGUCGAACUCAUUAAAUCUCCAAUUAUUCAAUUAAUCAUCAGAUCAAUCUUCGAUCAAUCCAAUUCAUCUUCGAUUAAUCCUUAUUAAUCCCCAUGUAGUCACCGAUUAAGUCUAAUUCUUGCUUUUUAUAACCAUGUAUAUAUAUCAUAUAUAUAUAUAUAUAUGUUCACAAGAGAUACUAAUGAUUUAUGACGUCAUUUGUUCUAGUAUUUUUUUUAUUUUUUUAGUAAAAGCACUUGCAUUCAUUAAAUCAUAUCCAAACUCAGAUCAAGGAACUAAGGUGGAGUGACAUACCACUCCCCUUCGUCUGACAUAGAAUAGGCAGCUUUGGCAAGCCUAUGAGCUACCGUAUUCGCAGAACGAUAAAUAAAAACAACUAGCACUUGAUUUACGUGCUUAACUAACUGAAUACAAUUCAUCACAAUGGUACCAAAGAAAGCUUCUCCCUGCCCACCAUUACAUGCAGCAGCUAGAGCAGAUGAUGAUGUUAGAAUAUUAUGUCAGCUUAUUAGUAUUUUCAUUCAUUUUCUUUUUCUCCACGGGUGCCGGAGAAGAUGAAUUAAUUGUCACGGGGAAGUAAAAGGUUAUGCUAGUAGAAGAGUCGCACUUCAGACAAAUAUUCUCGGUUGUAUAGAUCUUUGUGCUAGUCCAUCAACAAUUAAAUCUCUGUUAAUUAAUAAUUGAUUAAUAAUAAUAUUGUAAAAAUAAUACUUUUUCCUGAUUUCAAUAAAAUUACUAUAACGAAGACAAUACUUCUAUAAAAUAAUAAAGUCGAUGAAUUAUAUUUUUCCUCUUCAUCCCAGUAUUAUUUACUUUAAAGAUCCACAACUUCUUAUAAACAUCCAAAGUGAGAUGGUGCCCUCCUACACUUGAGGUUGAACAAUGUGUUGAUAAAACAUGAUUAACUAAUAACACGUGAACUAGAGAUUUGUGGUCCCAACAUAAUGUUGACAGUACAUAUUUAACUUCGAUUGCCCUGACAUUAAUAAUUUGUACGUGGUCCGAACAUAAUGUUUGUGAAAACCGAUAUGUGCUUAAAAUUUCACCGGUGAAUGAUCACUACGAAAAUGUAGUGCAAUUCACACGGAGUCCUGAGAAACAGCAAAAACAUAAAAUGGAACCAACAAUGAUUUGUUGCAUGAUCAAAAUAAACAAAACAUGAACAGACAAACAGAAUGAACAAUUCCAAUCCCAAACAAAAGCAUGUAGAAAUCACAAUCAACAUUGAAUCAACUCAGAACACAAUCUUAAUUAUUUCACACUGAAUUAAAAUGAGUAGUACUAAAUUCUUCCAAAUGCCAGCUUUGCUUUCCAAGCACAUAAUCCAUAGAGUUGCUAGCAGACCAGGAUCUGUAGAGAGGAAAUUUUUUUGAUUGACGCGGACUUUCUGGCCUCCUGCAGCAAAUAUAGCGAGUAGUAUGGCAAAACAAGGGACGAUGAAACGAAUAAAUAAACACAAUAAAUGAAGAGUUUCACGUUGUAGAAAGACUGCAGAUCCAAAUAUUAUACAGAGCUAGAACUUACUAUUUGGUAGUUGCUCCAGUUACUCUUUGUCUCUCUUGUCUUUAUCCAUUUGCCUUAUGACUGUCGGAUUUUCUCCCAACAAACGUCUUUCAGCAUCGUACCACCCCCCACGUUGCAUUAAGGCCGAUCUAUCACCCCAAUAAUAUAUGGAAGUAAUACAGUUUUCAGGCAAAUUAGAAUCAGUGUGGGUUUCCUUGUGGUAAUAAUUGCAUGCAACAUGCUCUGCGAUAGAUUGAAAUCUCACAGCUUCACAUAUCAUCAGGGCCAACUUUAUAAUAUGUUUAGCGAAUUUUCUAUCUUCCUGAUCCAAUGAGGAGGCGGUGAGAUAAUUGACUGCUUUUAUGAAGGCUCGUCUGUUCAACUUUACCUUUGCCAAACGAUCCUUCACUCUUCUGAUUUCAUUGUCUACUUUAACACUUUGCUCUAUGAAUUUACGAUGCUGUCGCUCAGGGUUAUAAUCCUCUCGCGGCUCUUUUAAAUAAUUCAAAAAAUCUAGCGCUGCUUUGUCAUCAGCACCUAUAAGUUCUUUUACACGCUCAAGGGUAAUAUCUCUUGGCACCAUAGCUAACAAUGUGUCCACUCUUUUGAUCAAGUCUUUAUUAUCUUUUCCCUUCAGCCUUUCAAUUUGCUCUUUCAUUGCCUUCAAUUCUGUUACGGCGUCAGUUAUUUUUCUUUCUUUGUCUCUCCCUUUUCGUGCUAGAACCAUUUUCGACUUCUCUUCUUUCUCUGCACUCCGGUCUGCCUCUGGCUCAGAACCCUUAAAAGAUGGAUCAGAUAUGCCAAACAAUGCACUGUAUGAUGUACUCAGUUUAACUUCCUUUAGCGGGUCCGCUACACAAAAACACAAAGUCCAAAAUCAAAGAGAUGAAAAUCACGACGCAAAAUUAAAUCUGAACGAAAACUGGAUAUGACUUACUCGAUGGCGGAAACUUCUGGAAAGACUUAACAACUUCGCGAUGAUUUUUCCCAGUUAGAACAAUCCAGUAAUCAGCUUGCUCCGUUUCAGCAUUCACCGCUCCGUCUUCUUCUUUUUCUUUAUAUUUACCCUUGUACCCGACUAAGUAGAGAUUAUUUUUCUUUAUCAAAAUGUCCAAAUUGCGACAUUCAUGCUUUAACCUUACUUUGAGAAGCCAAUUCUUAUCCUUCAACUCCUCUAUACUACAGGUUCGUCGAACGCUUUCCUUUUGGCGAGUGCUUGCAGCAUUUCCAGGAAUUCCCGGAAAACAUUUUUCAAUUUUGGAUUUCAACUCUUUAUCAGCGCUCUCUUUAUCAAAGUUUCGAAGUUCUUUCUCUACAUCACAUGGCGGAAAUUCCUUAAUUAAGCUUUUGAUGAACUUUUCGUACUCAUCUUUUUCAUUUUUAUCAAGGUUUAGAGUAAGCGGUUCAUCAGAUGAAACCGCAGUGGGCUGAGAGGUAGAUGUCAUAUAAGCUUGAAGAUGUUAGCAAUAAAGUGAAGGGAGAUAGUUUGUUAUUACAGGUCUUUCCGGAUUUAACAACUGCAAGUCUUCAACUACUGAUAAACUUAAUAUAUAGAAUGCCAGUUGAUAUUUCAUAUACAAAAGGUGACUCUGAAGUUUUGGCUUUUUUGUUAAUAAACGAGGAAAAGAUGGUGUGAUCGAGAUUGGCUUAUUAUUAGUUACUAAAUAAACCGGAGCCGGGGAAACCAAGGCUUCAACAAACAUGAACAAAUGAAUACUAGUAUAAAAUUGUAGGAAUCCUGUAUCAUUUUUAUUUCAAUACAAAUUAUAAGUAGUUGCCUUUGUUUUGGGGUGCGCGGGCUGUUCAUACUGUCACACACCCAUGUAAUUUAUAUUUGGGUUAGUUAGAAAUUAUAUAAAAUAUUGGAAAAAAGUAAUAAAAUGAUGGCCAUUGAUUAUUUUGUUAAUCACAGAAGUCUGUCAUGGAAAUGAAGAUAUUGAUGGAGUAUGCGGAUAUAAUAUAAAAGCAGAGAUUUUAUUAUAAUCAACUAUUAUCAAUUAUAAUACAAAUGAGACUUAUAUAGUUAAUAUUUAGAAAAUAAUAACAAAAAUUGUGAAAUAAUAUUUUCUCAACCAAAUCUCAUAUAUAAGUUUCAAAAAUAAAAAUAGUCAAUAAAAAAAUUACAUUUUCCGAUUUCUCAUAUUAUGGUCCUUAAAUCGAAAAUCGGUACGAAAAAGCGUUUCUAACUUAUAAGCUGACAAGCCGCGCAAAAUACCAAAUAUAUUUUCAAAAUGCGGUCAUGUUUUAAUUAGUUAAAGUUAUACUAUCGACAUUGGCUCAUUGCAAUUUUGAAACCAUUCUUUUUGCAGCGGAAAACAUUGUGAACACUCGGUAUCCAAGUUAGGCAAAAUGUUCGACGUACUAGCCUGCAAGGUUUGUAUGCUAAACUUGCAUGUUCUCCAGGUGUAAGUAUUCACUUAUUACGCAUUUAGAGGAGGCAUUAUUAGUAUAAACUGAACACCUAUGCAAGCAAGUUGGACUCAUAGUUGCCAUGGACUAAGCACUACCCAAAAUGAGAUCUUUGCCCUUUGUUUUCAGCUAAUAACUACUUAGUUAUAGCAGAACCAGUGGAUGCAGUACGGUGUUCCAUGUUACUUAUACACAAAAAGGAGUAUAUAUAGCAUGUGUUUAUAUGUAUAUUAAUAUUAUCAUGUAUAUAAUGUGGCAAUAAAUAACUGUUUCAUCAGUGAAUACAAGUUCAUCGAGGAAAUCCUGGAUGAGGUUCAAAUUUAAAAUUUAUUUACCUAGAUUGAGUUUAACAAGUUAUGUCAGGGUACAAGGUAAAACUGAUUAGAAGGCUUAUAGAUUAGGAAGCAAAAGCCAAUUUAGACCUUUAUAAAAUACUUCCUUGACAACAACAAAAAAAUAUAUAGUUUGGGAAACGUACCUUCCUCGAUUAUAAUUUAAAUGCCCCAUGUCUCCAUUAUGAAUUAUUCUUACCCGUGUAUACGAAUAAGUCAAAAAUAAAAUAAAAUUAAUCAAUCCAAAAUACCUUUUCCUUGCACUAAAUUACAUUUUACAUUCUAAACUUUUAAUGGAUAUUUAUUUUUAUUAAAUUAGUAUUUGCCGAAGCAACUUUUUUAUAAGGGAAGAAUUGAAGAGAAAGUGCAAGUUUUGCUUUGUGCUCUCAGUCUUUUCCGUUGCUUGACAUGGGAAAAGAUUAACAUAUUGAUUCCUUAUCCAUGGAAUUAAUAUUUUAAUGUGUAAUGUAAUCUUCUAUAUAUGGUUGUUUAUGUUCAAAAGAACCAGUAUCCCUGUUAAAUCCUCAAAUCAUAUGUGGGUAUGUUAUUUAGUUGAGAUCGAGUGAUAAGAGUGGCCAUAUGCGUGUCAACCAUAAAAAUCAACCAGUUGCAGUAAGAUUCAGCAGCCCCUACGAAAUUAAAACUAAUAUGAUAAAUAGAAGUUAAUAUUAUAAUAAUAACGCUAUUGCUUACGUUAUUGUUGACAGAACCGAGGCCAUUGUGUUUAUGCCUAAAAUUCUUUGUCGAGAAUAUUUGAUUAUUUCCUUACAUUAGUUCAGGUACAACCAAAUCUAAUGUCUUCAAUGUGCCUUCUUCGGGGAUACUACCUACUGGACACUCAAAACAGUCAAUUCAAUGCGGCAGAUAUAUAUAGGUGAGACAAGCACUGCAGGUAACUUCUAAUGCCCUUGAUAUAUUUUAGCAUUUAUAAAACAGGCCAUUGUGUUUGCGUUAAUUCACAUGGGCAAGAUUAAUGUUUGUGGCAGUAGAACACUAUACGUUUUAGAGUAAUUGACACUUUGCAACUAUACGUUUUAGAGUAAUUGACACUUUGCAACCCACAAGUUUAAGCGGUUUUUGAUUUGGUCUCAAAUAAAUUUUUUUGUCAAUAUACACCAUAAUGUUUAAAAAGCGCUUCAAUAUGCACCCUUUUGACUAUUUUCCGUCAAGUUGACUGUUACAAUUAACGGCUGCAGGGGUAAAAUAGUAAUUAUGUAGACUUUCCUCUUCUAUUUUUUCCAUACAAAAUUAUUAUUUUACCCUUGCAGCCGUUAAUCUUAACAGUCAACUUGACGGAAAUAGUUAAAAGGGUGUAUAUUGAAACGCUUUUUAAACAUUAUGAUGCAUAUUGAUAAGAAAUUUUGUUUGGGACCAAAUCGAAAAAACGCUUAAACUUAUGGGGCGUAAAGUGUCAAUUACUCUAUGUUUUAUUUGAUACAUGAGGCACCCAACAUGGAAAUAGUAUCAUGUAUUAUAAUAGCGACACCGGGAUAUUAUAUAUACAUAGUGAAAAAGGGGAAUGGCGAAAAAAGUUGUGCAGCAACUUUGACUCUUGUGCCUAAAUUGCAUUUUAAUUUUAAAGGCACUCCAACUGACACUCAUUGGGGUCUCUAAGAAAAUUCAAACAAUAUUGAUGGUUGAAAGAUUAAAAUAUCCAUUUAACACAAUUCGAAAAUAUAGAAAAAUAGGGGUGUUUAAUUAGCAUCUUGGGAAAAAAAUGGAAUUCUAGCUAAUAUUAUGCGAUGCAUGUGCCAUGCCGUGUCUUGUAUUAUAUUAUGCACAGUAUUCUUUCUUUCUUUUUUUUGCUAAACUAUGCACAGUAUUCUUAAUAAACCAGUUGUACAAUUGAAAAUAAAAUAUAGGUUGUUGAGCAACUUCCCAGCAAAGGAUUUACCUAAUAUAAUGCAUUCUGUAUUGCAUAACGGUGACUUUUGACAGAGGGGACUUCGCAAGGGGAUUUCUCAUCUGGAGGUUCAAGCUUGAAAGAAGUUCCUGCCAUUAAUCAAGCAGAUGGAGGAACAACCGCUCCAAGUAUGUUUUUCAGGUAACUGGACAAGUAUAUCAUAACAUUGGAUCUUUGAUACCACCUGAUGGACGGACCCCGAAAUUUACACAAUUAUGUAUGAUGGAUGUGACUAUGUGAGGCAAAUGAGCAUGAUGCAUUAACGGAAAGUAGUUUCUUGAAAUCACAUUUCGCUUGACAUUGGAUAAAUUGAUGGAAAGAAGAACGAUGAGCGUAUUUGCUGCAUGUAUACAAGUUAAUUUUAUUGCUUACCAAAGUAAAAAUUUAAAAGUUUAGAAUUUCUUGGUUUAUAAACCGCGCAAGUUUAUGAUCAAGGAAAAAAUGUUUUUUUAUUACUCUAUGUCGCGAAGCUUUUGUUAUAGAUAUACUACGUCUCCUGAUGUUAAGAAGUUGGUAAAAAAAAGUUUGUCCCCCCUUAUGCAUUACUCUCUGCAUCCGCCACUGUGAGCAUCGGAUUAAUUUUACAGGGAAAAGGGGGGAGAGGGAAAAGGGGGGAGAUUGAUAGGCUGAUUAUUACAACUCUCGAUAGCAUGCUCAGUCGUAACAAUGUGCUAGUGGGAAUAUUCAGCCAAAUAAGACAACAAUUUAAAAAUGUGGUAGCUAUUCCUGUACGCUUGAAAUUGAGAGACGCACAACUGAGGCCGUUUUCAUAGUAAUCAGACUCAAGAUGAUUAUGAAAUUGAGCAUAUUCAUGUUGAAUGCAUUUGAAUUCGCAGGUCUUGCCAUAGAUAUCGACUUUUGCACAGUCAUUCAGAAUAAAGCAGUUGGAUUGCAGCAUAUUAGUGAUGAGCUGCAUAUAUCCCUGUUAUAUGUCCUUGCAAUAUCCCCUUCUAUUCUCGUUCGGUUUUUCCGAAUAACUUUAUUUAUAUAAAAAAAGGUUAAACAACAAUCCGUCGAUUUCAUGAUACAACGUUUCGAAUUAGCGUCUUGGGUCUUGCACGGGCUUUUAUACUAGUUUAUACUUAUUGCAUGACCAACUCAUCUCCCUCCAAUAAUUAUAAAAAUAAUAUAUUACUUUUAAGAUAUAGCUAACAAUUAUAACUAAUUGUAUUGGAGGAAAAACGUUAACGGCACAGAUUUAUGCAUAUUUAAUGGAAGUUGUACACACUAUUUUCGCGGGUUAAUAUAAUGGGGUGCGAUUUGAAUUAUUCAUAGUUGUUGUAAAAAAAUCGUUUUUGAACGAAAAAUAAUGGGAUAUGAUAUCAAUUACCUCUAAUGUGUUUCUCUUGGUUAAACUAAAUCAGUUUAUAGUUCUUACAAGUCAUCUUUAUUUAACUGGAAUUUUAAUGAAUUAAUAAUAAUUUUUAAAUUUUAAAAGAUUGUUUAUGAUUUUAAUUAUUCAAUAAAUUUAUAUUAAUUUAUAAAUUUAAUAAAUUAUAUCUUACUUUUAUAUUUCUACAAAUUUCUGAUAAAAUGUCAUAAAAAUUAUAAAUAAUAACUGAGAUAACGCAACUCCUACCAAUGAUGAGGCCGUUAAUGUUAGUGUUCGAACCUAACAGGGGGAACACAACACUAUCAUAUGUGUUCAACCUUGUUAAUAUCAACCGCACAAUGACAUGUUACUCCGUCGCUCAUUCUUAUACAACUUUUUUCAUUACUUGUCGCGUAUUUUAUGGAUUUUAUAUAAUAUAGUUCAAUAAUUUAUUACUAUAUUUUUUGUUUAUAUAUGAAUUAAAACAUAAAUAUUAUUUUUUAUUAGAAAAAAAUUUAAAAUUGAUUAAUAAAAAUAUAAAAAAUUCUUAGAAUACGUAUCAAGCCCUUCGAGUCAACGUAUACAACUCAAUGGUAAGUGUUCCACUCUUGCACAUUAAAAUGUAUGCAAAAAGUCAAGCGUCAUAUAAUAAAAGAGAGAGAGAGUAUAUUUCACACCAAAGUCUUCAAAAAAGCAUCAACAUGAAAUGGAAACAAUCAAACAAUGAUUUAUUGCAUGAUAUGAACAAACAGAACAUCUAACACGCAAUUCAAACAAAAACACGCACAAAUCACGGUGAUCAACAUUGAAUCAACUCAGAACACAAUCUUAUUCCACAGUGAAUUAAAACGAGUGGCAGGAGAUUCUUCCAAAUAUAUGUUAGCUUUAUUUUCGAGGCACAUAGUCCAUGUAGUCGCUAACAGACCAGGAUCUGCAGAGAGGAAUAUUUUUUAGUCAGAUUUCCUCGUCUCUUGCAGCAAAUACAGCAAAUAGCAGGGUAAUUACGAGGGAGGAUGAUAAGAAUGAAGAUUAUCAAAAUUAUACACAACUAGAACUUACUGUUUGAUAGGUACUCCAGUAGUUACUAUUUAAUUGCUUCUUCGUCAUCCAUGUCUUUGAAAACUGACGGAUCUUCUCCCUUCAUAGGUGUUUCACCAGCAUACACCCACCCACGUUGUCUAAAGGCCGAUCUACUACUCCAAUUAUACACGGAAGUAAUACAAUUUGCACACAGAAUAGCAGUGCCAUGGGUUUCAUCAUGGGUUUCAUCCAUGUGGUAAUUGUUUGCAACGUGCUUCUUAAUAUUUGGAAAUCACCGUUUUGUGGAAUUCAAUGUGGAAUCACCGUACUCGUUUUAAUUCAGUGUGGAAUAAGAUUGUGUUCUGAGUUGAUUCAAUGUUGAUCACCGUGAUGUGUGCGUGUGUUUGUUUGGGAUUGGAACCGUUUGUUUGAAUUGCGUGUUAGAUGUUUUGUUUGUUCAUAUCAUGCAAUAAAUCAUUGUUUGAUUUUUUUUUUGAAACAAAGGUGUUAAUCUCAUAAUAAAAGGUCAUACGGCAUCUACACCAAUGAUCGAGUCGAACAGACAGUAUAUUGCCAUCCCGUGAUCUGACAAUGAGACAGUUAAACGAUAUUUUGAAGAAAAUGUAUGUACAAAUACAAGUACCCGCUUCAUGCAUUCUCGUUGAAUUAUGAUCUACUUAUAAGCUAACUCUAACACACACAUGUAGUCGGGUUAUUCUAGAUGGUUAAUUAUAAUAGGGUUCACUGCUUAUAAGCUAAAUCAAACGGGCACAUAUAGUCGGGUUAUUCUUUAAUUAUAAUAUAGUCGGGGUGUCUUAAUUUUAGAGUCUGAGGCUAACGCUUAUCUGCACAAUCCACACAGAGUCUUGGGAAACAGCAACAACAUAAAAAUGGAAACAACAAUGAUUUGCUGCUAAACAAACAAAUACAAUCAAAAUAGACAAUUCCAAUCCCAAACGAAGACACACACAACUCACAAUCCCAAACAAAGACAUGCACAAAUCAACUCUUAACACAAUCCUAUUCCACACCAAAUUAAAAUGUGAUCGAGUCCUCCGUCUCCAAACAUAUACAAUUGAAUAAAACGGAUUAAGUAUUAUAUAUUUACUACUGAACCUCAAAUAGAUGAAAAUUUAAAACAUGAAUUUUAAAGCUUUCCAUUUAAAGAGUAAAGCUAAUCCAAGUAACAAUGACCGAGCAUUUACUCGUCUACCGUCAGCUCUUCAUUUAAAUUGGUAAGGCUGCAUUGGUAUAGGGGCCGUUUGGGUGAGUUUAAAAUAAGUGCUACUUGCUUAAAAUAAAAAAGUGAAGUAGAAGUUAGAAACAUGUAAAGACUUAUAAGUGAUUAAAGUGUUUGGGAAAGAAGUAGAAGUCCUGAAACAAAAGUUAGCAUUCCUAGCAUAUAAGUGCUUCUUGACUUAUUACACAAAUGGUACAAAUCUAACUUAUAAACCCAGAGAUUGGGCUUUUAAACGCUCGCCAAACACCCACAUAGUCUAGCCGACAUGCAUAUGUAUCAGCAUAUACGAAGUAUCUCAAAUUUGUGAUUAGUUUUGAGAUUUUGAAAUAUGAUUAAAUAAUAUGUUUAGAUAUAAAAAAAAAGGUUGGAUCUAAAUUUCAUUUCAAAUUCAGGACUUUUAAAUGUUACACUACACCAAUUCUGGCCAUUUACGACGGAUAUCUUACGACGGAAUAAGCGGAGCGCAAAACUUACGACGGAACACAAACAUUCGUCGUAUUUUCUCGUCAAUACUUACGACGUACCAACCUUCCAUCGUAUGUUUUGCUAGAAUUCAGCCGCGCCCUAAUAAAAAAAUAAUAAAUUUUUUCCCGCGAAAAAACCGUCGAAAUUUAACCGUCGUAAGUUAACAUAUCUACCUAAAUAAAGACAAAAAAUAAAUGAAAAUAAAGUAUUUUCUUUUCCGUCGUAAAUACGCCGUCGUAAGUUCAUAUAAUUAUAUAAUUAUAUCUAUUUUAAAAAUGAAAAAUAAAUGGAAAUUAUAAAUUUUAAUUUUUCGUCGUAAAUUAACCGUCGUAAGUUAACAUAUCUACCUGAUUAAAGAAGCAAAAUAAAUUAAAAUAAAGUGAUUUUCUUUUCCGUCGUAAAUAAGCCGUCGUAAGUUCAUAUAUUUAUAUAAUUAUAUCUGUUUUAAAAAAGGAAAAUAAAUAAGAAUUAUAAAUUUUAAUUUUUCGUCGUAAUUUAACCGUCGUAAGUUAACAUAUCUACCUAAAUAAAGACAAAAAAUAAAUGAAAAUAAAGUAUUUUCUUUUUCGUCGUAAAUAUGUCGUCGUAAGUUAACAUAUCUACCUAAUUAAAGGAAAAAAAUAAAUGAAAAUAAAUUGAUUUUCUCUUCCGUCGUAAAUAAGCCGUCGUAAGUUCAUAUAAUUAUAUAAGUAAAUCUGUUUUAAAAAAGAAAAAUAAAUGAGAAUUAUAAAUUUUAAUUUUUCGUCGUAAUUUAACCGUCGUAAGUUAACAUAUCUACCUAAAUAAAGACAAAAAAUAAAUGAAAAUAAUGUAUUUUCUUUUCCGUCGUAAAUACACCGUCGUAAGUUAACAUAUCUACCUAAUUAAAGACAAAAAAUAAAUGAAAAUAAAAUGAAUUUUGUUUCCGUCGUAAUAUAACCGUCGUAAGUUUACCUAACGCAUUAACUCCCACCUUCCCACAUUGAAAUCAAACGGCAGGAUAUUCAUUUUUAAACAGAACUUACGACGGAUACGAUAAUUCCGUCGUAACUUACCAUAUAUCCCUCAGAAGCUACUGCCUCUUUCUCCCCAACAUCAUUUCUAUAUGCUCCUAACCAGAACCAAAAAAUAUGCUCAUGAUCAAAUAAAUGUGAUAUAACAAAUUACACUCAACACUUGCAUCAAUCAUUCUUGUAAGUAUUUAUUUUCUAUCUUUCCAUUUAAAUUGUAGAAAUUUUGAUCUUCCAUAUUUUAUUUUGAUUAAUAUAAUUUUUCAAUAUUUGUAUGUGGGCUUGUGUGCAUAUUUAUAAUUGAAAUUUUGUUAUUUAUUAUUUAUAGAUGUCUCCGGAUCGUAGUUGGAUCACUAUGCGAAUAAAACCCGGUGGAUAUGGUUUUACGGAUGAAUAUAAUGAGGGGGUUAAAUAUUUUUUGGCAUUUGCGCGAAGCAAUUCUAGUAAGCCGAAUGAUCCGAAUCUUUUGAUUAAUUGUCCUUGCAAUACAUGUCGGAAUGCAUUAUACCAACUCAUUCCCGAUGUCGAGUUCCAUUUAUUUGCAACCGGUUUUCUUGAGAGUUAUACUAUAUGGUGCUUUCAUGGGGAAGCUAGUGCGUCAAGAAAUGAACAAAUGGAUGAUCGCGAACCUUUUUCCGUCGUAAGUAUGUAGGACCCACGAUGUAAAUACGACGGAUUUAUCCGUCAUAUAUUAUGGUCUAACAAAAUUGAGCAGUGGGGUCCACAUGGCUGAUCUUACGACGGAAGUGAUAACUUGUGACACAAUUUAAACUACCGACCAAUUUUUUAACUUCAGACGCCAGCAAAAACGACGGAAACUUUCCGUCGUAAAUGGUACUAUUUACGACGAAAUAGGCGGAAAAAAUCUGUCGUAAUUGGCCAAUAUUGGUGUAGUGUUAGUAUAAAAUUGAAAAUUUGAAAUGACACAUAAAAAUCAUAUAUUGAAAUCCAAAUUUUAAAAAGAAAUAUAUUUUUCCAAACACAAUCAUAUAUAAACACAAAUAUUUCAAAUUGAAUCGCUGGCAUGGACAAGUAAUACAACAGUACACAAUUCACACAAAGUCUUCAACCAAAGAUUUACUUGAUGACAUGAACAAGUAAUUGAACAAUACACAAUCCACACAAACUAAGACGUCAAAGAGAGCAGCAGUAUAAAAUGGACACAAUCAAACAACAAUGAUUUGUUGCAUGAUCUGAACAAACAAAACAUCAACACAAAAUUCAAAUAAACAGUUCUAAUCCUAAAAAGACGCAUGCACAAAUCACAAUCUCCAACAAUGAAUCGACUCAGAACACAAUCUUAUUCCACACUGAAUUAAAAUGAAUAGUAGGUAUUCUUCGAAAUAUAUGGUAGCUUUGUUUUCGAGGCACAUAGUAUAUAUAGUCGCUAAUAGACCCGGAUAUGCAGAGAGGAGUAUUUUUGGAUUGACGCAGAUUUUCUUGCCACCUGCAGCAAAUACAACAAGUAGCAGGGUAAACACGAGGGAGGAUGAAACGAAUAAAUAAACACAAGAAAUGAAGAGUAUCACCGUGAGAAAGACUGUGGAACCAAUUAUGCACAACUAGAACUUACUGUUUGAUAGUUGUUCCAGUUAUGUACAAAUUCUGUAUGCCUAGCACUCAUAUUCUUUUUCAUCCAUAUCCCUGAUGACUGCCGGAUCAUCUCCCAGAAGAAUUGUUUCACGAGCGUACACCCCCCCACGUUGCAUUAAGGCCGAUCUAUGACUCCAACUAUAUAUGGAAGUAAUACAUUCUUCAGAUAAAAAAGUAGUGACCUCAUGGGUUGUUUCGUGGUAAUUCUUUGCAACAUGCUUUUUGAUAUCUGGAAAUCUCGCAGCUUCACAUAUCAUUAUGGCCAACUUUAUAAUAUGUUCAGCGGUGUCGCUCUCGUUCUCACCAAAUGAGUCCUCGGUCGUCAGAUGCUCGACUGCUUCUGUGAAGGCUUCUCUGUUCAAAUUCACUGUUGCCAAACGAUCCUUCACAUCUUUGAUUUCAGCAUCUGCUCUAACUCUCUUCAUCAUCAAUUUAAAGACAUCAGACAUUUCUUUAAGUUCUUUAUGGAACUUAACCACCUUAGCCUUAUCCUCUGUGUUCACCGCUUUAUAUCGGCCUUUCAGUGUAGCUUUUUCUGAAAGAAAAACUUCCUGUAUUCCGUCAUCGGUGGGGUUCGUUUCUUGUGUUCCAUCAUCUAUAUUAAAUUUAUUUUUUAGCAUUCUUUUCAGCUUGAUCAGGGCUUCAUGUUCCUCUCUCCAGUCCUCUACCGUAUAUCCUUUCGUUCUCUUUCCCCAAACUAUUGUAUCCUUUUUUUCAGCAGUCAAGCUACCCAAGAUGACGACUAUCUUGUUGAACACCUUUCCCCACAAAAUUAUUGAUCUUUGAUUCCUAUAAAAAGUACAAAAAUUGUUUACAUAAAAAUAAAGUAAUCAAAAUUUUAAUUAAAAAAAAAAAACCGAGAGAGUACCAUCACAGUUUAAGAACAAAACUAAAAGCAGUACCUCUGGUUUUCACUUGCCUCAGCUUCGUUCGGCGCCUGCCCCUGUUGAUUAUUAUUUUCAUAUUCUUUCUUCAGCUUUUCUAUUAGCUUUCCCAAAAGGAUAUGAUCCUCUUGCGGCUUUUUUACAUGAUUCAAAAAAUCUCGCGCUGCCUUGUCAUCACCCUCAAGUUCUUCUUCUAAACACUCACGAGUAAUAUCUUCUGUCACCAUUUUUAACAAGCUGUUAACUCUUUUGUAAUCUUCAGUCUCCUCCGGGUUUUCAUAUUUUUUAUAAUGGCUUUCAAUAUUCGAUUUUAUUUUCUUCAAUUUCUUGGUGGCGUAAUUUAUUUUUCUAUGUUCUUCUCGCUUUGCUAGUCCUUUGAAGCCUCCCAACUUCUUUAUCAAAUUUUCAUACAGUUCUGACUCUGGCACAGAAUCAUAAAAUGACGGAACAGAUUUACCAAACAAUGCAGUGUAUGAUGUACCCAGUUUAACCUUCUUUAGCGAGUCUGCAAUACAAAAACAAAAAGUCCAAAAUUAAAGAGAUGAAAAUCACGACGCAAAAUCAAAUCUGAGCCAAAACUGUGUAUGACUUACUCGGUGUCAGGAAGUUGCUGACAGACUCAGCAACUUGGAGAUGGUUUUUCCCAUCUAGAACAAUCCAGCAGUUUUCAGCACUCACUGUUCCAUUUUCUUGUUUAUAAUUACCCUUGUACCCGACUAAGUAGAGAUUAUUUUUCUUUAUCAAAAUCUCCAAAUCACGAUCGCCAUGCUUUAACCUUAACUGGAAAAGCCAAUUCUCAUUCUUCAAUUCCUCUCCCUUAAAUGUUCGUCGAGCGCUGUCCCCACAUUCCCUUGCAUCAGUGUAAUGACGAAACGUUGGCUUGAAACAAUUAUUAAUUUUCCGUCCCAACUCUUCAUCAAAGCACUUGUCAUCAUCAACUCUUUCAGGAUCUUUUUUUAUAUAACAUUCUGGAAAUUUCUCAAUUAAGCUUUGGAUGAACUUUUCGUACUCAGCUUUUUCUAUGUUAUCAAGGUUUAGAGUAAGCGGUUCAUCAAAUGAAGCCGCAGUGGGCUGAGAGGUCGAUGUCAUAUAAGCUUGAAGAGAUGUUAGAAACGAAGUGAGGGAAGAUAGUUUGUUAUUACAGGUCUUUCGGGAUUCAACACCAGCAAAUCUGCAACUACUAAUAAACUAAACUAUAGAAUGCCAGUUGAUAUUUAAUAUACUAAAGGUGAUUGUGAAGUUUUGGCUUUUUGGUGUAUGAUUGAUAUUGGAUUAUUAAACAAACCGGAGCCGGCGAAACCAAGGCUUUAACAAACAUAAACAAAAAAAGAUGAUGUGUUUCUCUUGGUUAACUAACAUAAUUUAUAGUUUUUACAAGCCAUCUAGAUCCUAUACCUGCAAGUCUGCAGAAUACUACAACUUACUGUUUGGUAAUUGCUCCAAUUACUCUAAAUCUGAUUUUUGUUUUUUCGUUUCCUGGUUGACUGCCGGAUCUUCUCAAAUCAAAAUUAUUUCACCAGCAUACACCCCCCACGUUGCAUUAAGGCCGAUCUAUAACUCCAAUUAUACACGGAAGUAAUACAUUCUUCAGACAAAGAAGCAGUGACAUCAUGGGUUGUUUUGUGGUAAUUGUUUGCAACAUGCUUUUUGAUAUCUGGAGAUCUCGCAACUUCACAUAUCAUCAGAGCCAACUUUAUAAUAUGAUUAGCGAUUUGUCCCUCGUCCUCACCAAAUCAUUCAUGAGGACUUGGUGAGAUAGUCGACUGCUUCUGUGAAUUAGACUAGUCUGUUCAACUUCACAUGUGCCAUAAGUUCCUUCACUCUUAUGAUUCCAGCAUCUACUUUAACACUCUGCAUCAUGAAUUCCAAGACUGCAUACAUUUCUUUAAGCUCUUUGUAGAACUUAGCCUGAUCCUCUUUCUUCACCGCUUUAUAUAGAGAUCUUUCAGUGUGUUUUUUUUUUGACAAUAAAUCUUCCAAUAUUUCCUCAUGGGUGGUGGCCCUCGUUUUUGGUAUUUUACUAGUCCCAUUUUUUUUUUUUGAGCAUUCUUAUCAGCUUAAUCACACAUUAAGUUCCUUUUUCAGGUCUGCUACACUUUUUUUACUCAUUUUCUCUUCCCAAUAUGCUGUAUUCAUUUUUCCAGUAGUCAAGCUACCCAAGAUGAAGACUAUCUUCUUCACACCUCUCCCCACAAAAUAAGCGAUUCUUGGGACAAUGGGUUUCUUAUAUAAACUAGUUUACAGAAAAAUAAAGUAAUCAAAAUUUUAAUUAAUUAAUAAACCGAGAGAGUACAUUCACAGUUUAAGAACAAAACUCAAAGGAGUACCUCUGGUUUUCGCAUGCCUCUGCUUCGUUGGGCACCUGCCCUUGUUGAUUAUAUUUAUCAUCUUUUUUCUGCAGCUCUUGUAUUAGCUUUCCCACACGGAUAUGAUCCUCUCGCGGCUUUUUUAAAUGAUUCAAAAAAUCUCGCGCUGCUUUGUUGUCAUCACCCUCAAGUUCUUCUACACGCUCACGGAUAAUAUUUAUUGGCACCAUAUCUAACAAGCUGUUAACUCUUUUGGAAUCAUCAAUUACCUUCAGGCUUCCAUAUAUUUUUAUUCUCCUUUCACACUGCUCACUGUUUUCUUCCUUUCGUGUUUCAAUAUUCAAUUUUAUAUCCCCCAAUUUUGAUUUGGCGUAUUUUAUGUUUCUCUCUUCUUCUCACUCUACUCGUGCUUUAAACUUUUUCAACUUGUCUUUCAUCUUUUAAUACAGGUCUGACUUUGGCGCAUAAUUGUUAAAUGACGGAUCAGAUUUCCCAAACAAUGCACUAUAUGAUGUACUCAGUUUAACUGCCUUUAGCGAGUCUGCAAUACAAAAACAAAAGGCCAAAAUUAAAGAGAUGAAAAUCAAAACUAAACCAAAACUGGAUACGACUUACUCGAUGGCAGGAACUUCCUGACAGACUCAGCAACUUAACAAUGAUUUUUCCCUUUUAGAACAAUCCAUAGUUCAGCACUCACCGUUCCAUCGUCUAUUCGUCUUCUUUAUAUUUACCCUGUGCCCGACUAAGUAGAGAUUAUUUUUCUUUAUCAAAAUGUCCAAAUCGUGAUCCCAUGCUUUAACCUUACUUGGAAAAGUGAAAACCCAAUUUUUUUCUGCAACUCCUUUGGUUUAUAGGUUCGUGAAACGCUUUUCUUGUCAGUGGCCUCACCUUCCAUGCUUGCAGCAGUUUUAUCAAACAUGUCCAGGAAACAUUUUUCAAUUUUUAGUUUUAACUCUUCAUCAAGGCUUCGAAGAGAUUUCGCUACAGAACAUUCCGGAAAUUUCUUAAUUAAGCUUUCGAUGAACUCUUCGUACUCAGUUUUGUAUUAAAGAAUUGGAUUAUAAGUGAAAAGUUAAUUUGUAUUUAUAAGUUAUUAAAAGUGUUUGGGUACCGUGACUUAUAAGUCAAGUAUUUCUAUUAGAAGAAGCUGCAACCUAAAAAAAAAAAAAGCUAGCUUUCCUUUCUUUUUUUUUGGGCUUCUUUAGCCUCAGUAUAAGCGCUUCUAUUAAUGUGCCAAACAGUCUCAUUUAAUCAGAAGCUUGCUUCUAUAUAGAAAAAGCCUAGAAGCCAGCUAGCCAAACACCCACAGUUUGUCAUUACAGGUCUUUCCGGAUUCAACACCUGCAAGUCUGCAACUACUAAUAAACUAAUACUCCCUCUGUCCCCCUAGGUAGUUUACCUUCGGGGACGAGAGUUUGACACACAUUCUAAUACUCCUAGAAAACAUAGUUCCAUAACUUAUUUUUAAUCUUUUUUCUUUUGAACAAAAAUUUUAUGUUUGAAUUUUUAAACACAAAGAGAAAAUCUCAAAAAUAAGUUAAAUACUAUGUUAUAUAAGAACCUUAAAAUGCGUGUCAAGCAGUGCAAAAAACUAUAAAGAAAUGAGAGGGACGGAGGAAAUAUAUAGAAUGCCAGUUGGUAUUUAAUAUAUAGUAUGAUUGAGAUUGUGUGCCCAUGGGCACACCAUAGAAAAACCGUAUUACAAAAACCGGAGCCCGGGAAACUAAGGCUUCAACAAAAAUAAACAAAUGAAUAAAGAUAAUGGUAAGUUGUUUUGGUUCACACACGUACAUAGUCGGGUUAUUCUCGACUGUUAAUUAUAAUAUAGUCAGGUUGUCUUAAUUUUAGGGUUCGAGGCAAACGCUGGUUUGCACAAUCCACACAUAUAUAGUCUUGAGAAACAACAACAUAAAAUGGAAACAACAAUGGUUUGCUGCAUGAGCUAAACAGACAACACAUGAACAUAUAAUCAAAAAGACAAUUCCAAUCCCAAACAAAGAUAUGCACAAAUCACAAUCCCAAACAAAGACCUGACAAAUCAACUCAGAAGACAAUCUUAUUCCACACUGAAUCAAAAGUAGUAUGAGAUUCUUCUGCAUGCCAUCUUUGCUUUCCAGACAAGUAGUCCAUAGAGUCGGGUUGUCUCAAUUUUAGGGUCUGAGGCUAACGCUGUUAAUUAUAACUCUUUACCUAAUCCCUUCCACUCUCUUGCUCUGCUAACUGUAACCGCCUUCAUUAAAUCUUCCAACCCGAAAUCUCUUUCACCCUUGUAACUCCACCCACGUACCAUUACGCCUGAUAUAUCACUCCACAUAUUUAUCAGAGCAACAUUUUUAUCACUCAAUUUAGAGCCUAAUUCAAGUGUGUAACUGCGUUUAAUGUGCUCUGCAAUUGGUUCAAAUCUCGUAGCUUCACAUAUCAUCACCACUAAAUGAGUAAUAUGUUUAGCGAAAUCUUUUUGAUCAUCCUCAUCAAAUGGAUACUGAGUGAGAUGCUCAAAUGCGCGUACUAAGGCAUGUCUGUUCAAUUCAAAUUCUUUGAUCUUUUCAUUUUGUACCCUGCAGCUGGCACCAAUUCCAAGAGCCUUCAUCUGAUUUUCCAAGACGUGUCUAAUCUUUUCCAGCUUUUCAUAGAAGUCAUACAGAUCUGUAGCCAUCAUCACUUCCCUAUAUGAAUCUAUGAUGCCCCUAUCUAAUUUGGCGGCUUUAUCCGUUUCCAGCAGCUGACCACAUUCCUCUUCCAACUCUUCCGUAAGUAUCUUUUUAAUCUCUCCAGUAGAACCAUCUUCCUGGGGAAUUACUUUUUCAAGUAAUUUUAUCAGCCUAAUCUUUUCAGGGAGAUCUUUUUUUAGCUCUUCUUCUGUUUUCCCUUCCCUUUUCCUCUUCUUCUUUUCUUUCUCCUUCCUUUUUAGCAUAUCUUUGUUUGUCUCUCCGGUUUUCGUUUCUAUUAUUAUUUCAUAACCCAAGGAACUUAAGAUUUUGACUGCCUCUCGGAUCUCCGUUUCCCAUGGAAUGAGCGAUUGAUUGAAGUCACUAAAAAGAAUAUUUGCAUAAAAGAAAGUAAAAAUAAUUCUCACCUCAUGUGUGAUUCUGUAGUAGUAAUUAGUUCUUUAAAAUGAACUAUAAAGCAUCUGUAUAAAUAUGUAAACUUGCCUUUCUUGUUUUUCCUCAUCUGUUCCAUUCUGCCUUUGGCUGAGAAAAAGCUUAUGUUUCACUUCCAGCAUUUUUACAAGCUUUUCCAUGGCAUCCCUAUCUGAUAUCCCUCUUAGCUUUUGAAAUCUCUGUCGCCAAAAUUUCUUAAACUCUUCGGCCUUUUUGUCACCCGCAGGUUCACUCGUCUCCAAGGAAUAAUUUCUUUUUCUCAGCCACUCUAACAAGUACUCUGCUCUUUUGUACUGAUCCACUAGUUCCUCAUCUGGAAUUAACCAUUCCCAAUUUGACUCAAGUUCCUCUCCCAGCAUAGUUUCUUUUAUCGUUUUUGCCAUAUCCGUUUUCAGUUUUUGUAGUAUUCCAACAAUGUAGUCUGUUUUCUCAUCUCCAUUUAACAUUUUCAAUCUACCUGUCAAUCUCUUGUACAGGUUUUUGGCCAGUGCCUUUUGCUUCUUUGUUUCUAACUCCGAAUCAAAUGGGCUCAACAAUGAAAAAUAUGAUGAACCCAAUUUAACUUCUUUAUACUUAUCUGCAAAUACAAAAAACAAACUCCAAAUUAGGGGAUGUAUUCAAUUGGAAUUUUAAAUUAUGCUACAAAAUCUGGUGGUAUUCAAUCGGGAUUUUAAAUUAUACUUUAAAAUCUGACGGUAUUCAUUUGAGAUUGUUUAAAACUCAUUAAAAUCUGAUGGUAUUCAAAUACUAAUGGUAUUCAAAUACUAAUGGAUUUUGUUGGACUUCAUGAAAUGGUGGCUUUUGUAGAAUUGUUCAGUGUAUUUUAAGUUUUUGAAAUCUAACCAAAAUCCAUGAGAUUUUGUAACACUUUGCUUAAAUCCUAAAAAAUCUAUAUCAACUCUGCGACAUUUUAACAAGAAUCCGCACAAAAUCAAAAUAGAAUACAUCAAUCUAUUAAAAUCCAUAGACUAAGAUCAAUCCAUUUAAAUUCAUAGACUAAAAACAUUCCAUUAAAAUUCACAUAGACUAAAAACAAUCCAUUAAAAUCUACAAAUAAAAUUAGGAUGCAAAAUCAGACCUGGACCAAGAAUGUCGUAUAUUACUUACCGGGAGUUAGAAAUUCCUCAACAAACUGAACAGCUGCCUUACAACACCCCCCGCUUAGAAUAAUCCAGUAAUCAGCAUUGUCAUCUAUCUUCGCCUUGUCAUCUGGAUUCAGCAUAGCUUCUUCCUCCUUCAAUUUAUAUUUCCACUUGUACCCGACUAAAUACAAACUACUUUUUUGUAUCAAAAUGUCCAAAAUGUGUUGGUCAUAAGUUAACCUUACUUGAAAAAACUUUUCACUAGCAGGGAUUUCCGCUUCAAGUGGGGUUUGUGCACGAGGAUCUUCACCGCAGUUGUCGUCCAUGUCAUCGAGCUUUGGAAGAUUCCAUCCGUCGAAACAUAAACCGAUUUGGUCAUUCAUUUCUUUAAAUAUUUCAGUUUCUCGUGGCACAUGCUUGCCUACGGUGUCACAAAGUCUCUGUCUUUUUUCUUGUGGAUUAUAUAUAUUGACAAUGCCUUUGAUGAACUCACCGUAAGCAUCACCUUCGAGUUUGUUAAGAUCUAGAUGAACCCGCAGCUCAUCUUUACCAGAUGAACCCGCAGCAUCAGGAUUGGUAUUUCUGUCCAUAUAAGCUUUGAAAAUGUUGGAAAAGAAGACUCUAACCCUAGCACCGCGGCACCUUCUAUAAACCCGAACCGAAUCCAAACGCUUUCCUUUUUCUUUUCUCUUCUCCUACCACCUAACAGGGCUGAGCAAACGGUACCGAACUUGUCUUUCAAACCGAACCGAAUUCGGUUCGAUUAAAGGAAAAUCGAACUUUAAAAAAAAUUGGAUGUUGAAUAGUUGAAUAGUUGGACGCCGCGCAGGGCUGCUCGGCGGAGCUCUGGAGGCGCGCAGGGCUGCGGUUUGUUCAACACCUGCAAGUCUGCAACUACUAAUAAACUGACGGUUUUUCUAUCUAGUAUAAGUUUGGUGGUUUUUGAUUGGCUCAUACUUCUUUAUAACGGUGGACCCUCCUGUGAAUUCACCAACCACACCAAUCAAAAUCCACCAAAAUUGCAGAAUUUGGUGCUUACCAUGUGCACAUGAGCACACACUAGACAAACCCAUAAACUAAUAUACAGAUUAAUGCAUGCCAGUUGAUAUUUAAUAUACAAAAGGUGAUUGUGAAGUUUUGGCUUUUUGGUUAAUAAACGAGGACACGACCGUAUGAUUGAAAUUGGCUUAUUAAACAAACCGGAGCCAGCGGAAACCAAGGCUUCAACAAACAUAAACAAAUGAAUAAAGAUAAUGGUAGGUUGUUUUGGUUCACUGCUAAGUGCUAAUAAGCUAACUCAGACACACACGUAUAUAUAGUCGGGUUAUUCUCGACUGUUAAUUGUAAUAUAGUCGGGUUGUCUUAAUUUAGGGUCUGAGGCUAAGGCUGGUCUGCACAAUCCACACACAUAUAACAUAUAAGUAACACAAAUGAAGUGAGGAAGGAUGGUGUGUUUCUGUUGGUUAAACUAACACAAUUUAUAGUUUUUACAAGCCAUCUAGAUCCUGCACCUGCAAGUCUGCAGAAUACUAGUAUAAAAUUGUAGGAAUCCUGUAUCAUUUUUAUUCCAAUACAAAUUAUAAGUAGUUGCCUUUCCAAAUUUCCAGAUUUUUUUGAAGUUUUAAAUUUUCAAAAUCGAAUAAAAAACGAAUUUUUAUAUUUUUUUUCAAUGUUUUUUAUUUUUUUUACAUUUUUCAAGAAUUCCAUUAAAAUCAACUGAUACUUAACAGCGCAGUGAUCUAAAUGCAAGUUUUUAUUAGUUAAGUGAGUUGACUGCAAGUUAAAUAUUGUUUUGCAAGUUAGUCAUGAGUUCAUUAAUAUUUUUGCCUAUUAACCCUUAUUUCUUCAAAAGAGGAUCUAAAAUAUUAACAAUUACAUGGAUUUUGAUUAAUAUACAUUAAUUUAACUUGUUUGAUUAAUUAAUCAAUUUAUUAGAAAAAACUUAUUUAAACAAAUAUAAAUCAACCUAGCCUGUUUGCUUUAACUUUAAGUGUUUAUUGCUAAUUAGUGAGAAGUUAUUUACAAGUGAAAGAUAAUCUUUUCGAUUUUUUUUGUUUGCACAUAAAAAUUACUCUCAAAUAUAAUAAUAAAACAUUAGAAAUUAUCUUCUAAAAUUGUCUUUUAUAUUUUUGUGAAAUAAAAAUUUUAAAACAAAAAUAAGAGCAUUAAAAUAAGUUAGCAUUUUGAAUUUUUGAUGUUCUGCAUCCUUUGGACUUUUAAGCCCAACCUAACAACACUAUAAUCAUUAUAAUUAGUUUUUUAACAAUACACUAAUAAAAAUAUUAAUAUAGUAAUCAUAUCUUUAUAAUUUAUUUUAUUUAGAUAUAUUCUUAAAAAUAAUUAACAAUUUAAAACCUAUUUUAAUUCAGAUAUACAUACUAUUAUAACAAAAAUCUCUCUACAUCUCAAAUAGUGAGAUCAGAGAAGACUUUCAUUUUACCCAAGUUGUAGCUCAAAGACCCUUGAGCAAUAGUUGCCAUGUUCGUCAAGAGUGGAGUUGUUCUCGCAAGACUUGUUUGAGAUUAAGCCUCUAUAGUUGUAUAUAUAGUUGUAAGUCCUUGUUCCCUUUUUUUUUUUUUUUUUUUUUAAAUGAGAAUAAAUCUCACAAAUAUGAACCGUCAAUUAAUUGUGAUAAUUCUUUCAUUCAAGAAAACUUAUUAUCUAACCGUCAGACAUGCAAGAUGACCGGAGAAAUUUAAACAAUAAAACUUUAAUGUCCGAAAAGAAAAAUCCGUCUUCUUCCAAGAAUUCUGAAAAUAAAACAAAGAAAACAAGAACAAUAUAAGUCAAUAUAUAACAAAUUAUAUAUAUUAUAAAAAUAAAAAAUAUAUCCAAUAAUUAAUUAUUAAUAAAAUCACGUGUAUAUACAUGUGGUGAUCAAAAUAUUCACACAAUUAUGAUAACUCAUAAUUGAGACAAUUAAACUUCAACUCGAGGCAUAUCCUUUUCCCCAUGUAAAUCUCAUUUGGUAUACCAUUACAUAAUCCCAUGAAGAUACAAAUCAACUUUCACACCACUAAAAUCUUUGAAAUACCUAUUUUUACACUUUUGACAUGGACAUCUCAUAAGGCCUUCAUCUUCAUCUUUAAGAUUAUCACAAACAAAUUUAAGAAAACUAUCCACACCAUUCUUGUAUCCUCCCGUUAUAUAUUGUAUCGACUAUGACCAACCUAACUACGAUCGGAUCAUGUCAUCUACAACAUAUACACACAAUUCAAUAUAAAUGCAAAUAAAAUAAAAUCACAAAAUUAUAAUUAACUCAUACCUAAAAUGUAUACUAAUACGCACAAUUAUACUAAUUUCAUCAUACAUGAGUAACAUCAAACAUUUAUACAAAUUUCACAAACAACUAGUAAAAUUUAGAUUGUAUACAUUUAUACAAUCAAACAUUCUAAACAAUACACUAUAUAAUAUAUACUCAUGUAUGAUGUUUGUGAAACAUUUAUACUAAUUUAGAUUUCUAAACAACUAGUAAAGUUUAGAUUGUAUAAACAACUAGUAAAGUUUAGAUUGUAUCAUACUAGAAUAUGAUAUUUACUUGAUGAUCUCAAAGAUUUGAUGAGAAGAAUAUAAUAUAUAUGAUGGCAUGAAAAAAGAAAAAUGGUGGAAAAGGGAGAAUAGAAGAGAGAAAGGAAAAGAAAUGAGAAAGGAAAAGCGGCAUGAAUGGGCAGUAGGUAUGCAAUCUGGGAAGGGUAAGAAUGACCGGUCCCGGUCAAAAUUAUAUACCUCACUGAAAAUGGUCAAAUAAAUAUAAACGAAUACAGCCAGUCAAUUUUAUAAUUUUCACCCUUCGGGAGUCGAACCUGUGAUCAAGAGGAUACAAGUCCCCUCUUUAACCAACUGAACCAACCCUUGCGGGCGUCUAUUUUAGCCUUGACUUGAUGACAUGCGAGUUUGACCUUAAAUGUGACUGCGUUCGGUCAAAAAUAAUCGGUGAAAAAUACCCGGUUUUUCUUGUAGUGGAUUUUAAACUCUCAAACUUACCACGUUAAGUCAUAAAUUAAAAUUUUAAACUCCGUCAAACAAGCUUCUAUUUUAUUUGAAUAUAUUUCAAGAAUAUUAAUAAUUUUAGUUUUAAAAAAAGGAAUAUAAAUAAUUUGGAAAAGGUACAUAACCUACUCAAUAUCUUAAAAUAUCAUUCCUGCUCAUUUCUCCAUGCUCCUUCACAUUUCUUGAUACUUUCACCAAAAUUAUUAUAAAUAUGGGUAUCGAUCUUGAACCAAAAUUUUGUUUUUAAAAACAUCUUUAAUGUAUAUAUGAACAAACAUAAAGGCCAAAAGAUUUGAGAUUGAGACCUUAUAUGUUCGACUAUGAAAAAGACGAAUAGACGAAUAGACAAGUAACAUAUAUGUUUGUUUUAAAAUAGAUGAACAUUAUGUUGACAUGUUUUCCUUCACGUCGACUUAUUAAAAUUUUCAUUAUUUGUUGGAUGAUUUUCGGGACGAACAAGACUGUUUGUGUAGUUCCCAUAUUUUUAUAAAUAUUAAUUCUAAAAAUAUAAAUAGAAUAUAUUUACAUAUUAUUUUAAAUAGUUAAAAUUAUAAUUUAUUUUAAAAAUAUAAAUAAAGUAUAUUAUUAUAUUAUAUUAUAUUUUGGUUAAAAAAUAUAAUUUAUUUUAAAAUAUAGAUUUGAAAUUAUUCACAUAUAUCUUUUUCUGAACUUUUUUGAUUUGCUUUUGUCUACGGCUAUUAACGAACCGAACUGUUCGCUAACAAGCUCGAGCUCGGCUCGUUAAGAGCUCGUUCGGCUCGUUAAGUUAACGAGCUCGAGCUCGAACACAAAAAUGUAUUCGUUAAGAAAACGAGCUCGAGCCGAGCUUUUAGUAUGUUCGGCUCGAGCUCGGCUCGUUAAAACUCGAAAAAUUGUAAUUUUUCUAAUUUUUUAUAAUACAUAUAUAUGUUAUUGAACUCAUAGAAACAUAUGAUAUAUCUAUAAAUUUUAGUGAUGUAACCAAAGUUUCGAGAAAUAAUAAUUUUAUUUGAUUUGCUAUUUUAACAGUCAAGUAGAAGUUUGACUAGUGUCGCUAACUAGUGUUUAACCCUAAUUUAGUGUUUUGAUAUUUUAAAAAAUAUUUUUUAUCGAUUCAACUGUAUGGAUGUUAACAUAUAUACAUUUUAUUGAAAUAACUAAAAUUUCAAAAAAGAAUACUCCCUUCGUCCCCCUGAAUAGUAUACAUUGGUGGACGGGGACGCGACACGGACUUUAAUGCUCCUGUAAAGUGUAGUUGUGUAAUUUAUUUUUAAAAUUUUCUUUUUCUGAAUUAAAGUUUGGAUGUUAUAUUUUUAUUCAGAAAAAAAAAUCUAAAAAAUAAGUUACGUAACUAUAUUUUAUAAGAGCAUUGAAAUGUGUGUCGAGCAGUUUAAAAGAAACGUAUACAAUUAAAUGGGACAGAGGGAGUAUUAUUUGGUUAUCUAUUUUAAGAGUCAACUCGCGGUUUAUCCUUCUUUUUUUUUUCUGGCUCGGUUCGGCACGGUUCGACUCGGCUCGACUUGUAUUUGUUCGUGAACAAGCACGUGUUCGGCUCGUUUGUUAACGAGCUCAAGCUUGAACACAAUUUUUGUUCGUUAACAAAGCUCGGCUCAACAGAAAAAAUAUUUAAAGCUCGGCUCGACGCGGCAAAAACUCAACUCGUCUCGGCUCGGUUCGUGACCAGUUGAGUGACUGCUAGACCGAGACCGUUACUGCACAUUGUAGAAUGUAGCUCAAUAAUUGCAUUUACAACCUACUCAAUUUCUCAGCAUCCCAUUUCUGCACAUUGUGUAGCUCAGAGAAGCUUCAGCAAUGGCUGUCAACAGAGGAGCUCUUCUCAUAAUGACUUGUUUCAGCUUAAGGCCUCUGAGUGUAAGACCUUGUCCUCUUUUAUCGUCUCUUUUUCAUUCUCAUUUUCUUCCUUUCUCUACUAAACCUAACCCUAAUUCACAAGUUAAACCCCCCUUUAUUCCUUCUCCAUCCACCACUCAUCCCGAACUUAAACAAUUACUCUAUCAUAAGUCCGAAGUUGGUUUCGACAAACUCGACAAUGCUCUUCUUGUGUUCGAUGAAAUGCUCCUUCUGAAAUCUAAGCUUUCUGUUCUGCAAUUCAACCAACUGUUAGCCGCCCUCGUUCGGAUGAAAGAAUACUCUGUUGCCGUCUCUAUGUUUAGAGAAUUCCGUGUUUUAAGCAUUCCUGUUGACAUUGUUACCUUUACUACUGCCAUCCAUUCCUGUUGUCACUUGAAUACACUUGAUUAUGCCUUUUCGUUGCUUGCUGGAAUCAUCAAGAGUGGUUGGAUGCCCGAUGCCUUUACCUACAACACUCUCAUCAAGGGCCUUCUAUCUCAAGACAGGCCUUUGGAGGCUGGGGAUUUGUUUAAUAAGCUUAUCACAUUUCAAGAAAUUCAGCCCAAUUUAGUUACGUAUAGCACCAUCAUUGAUGGUCUCUGCAAAACUUCAAAUACCUCCAUGGCUCUCAAGUUGUUAAGAAAGAUGGAGGAGAUAGGUUGUAACCCCGAUGUGGUAACUUAUAACACCAUCAUUGAUGGUCUCUGCAAAACUUCAAAUACCUCCAUGGCUCUCAAGUUGUUAAGAAAGAUGGAGGAGAUAGGUUGUAACCCCGAUGUGGUAACUUAUAACACCAUCAUUGAUGGUCUCUGCAAAACUUCAAAUACCUCCAUGGCUCUCAAGUUGUUAAGAAAGAUGGAGGAGAUAGGUUGUAACCCCGAUGUGGUAACUUAUAACACCAUCAUUGAUGGUCUCUGCAAAACUUCAAAUACCUCCAUGGCUCUCAAGUUGUUAAGAAAGAUGGAGGAGAUAGGUUGCAGACCCAAUAUUGUAACUUAUACCUCGAUUAUUGAUUCUUUGUGCAAAGAGAGACAAGUCGAUCAAGCAUUGGUUCUUGUGUCUGAAAUGACCAACAAAGGCAUAUCACCUAAUGUUAUAACCUAUAGCACACUACUUCAAGGUCUUUGCAGCUCGGGCCGAUGGGAGGACACUGAGAGUUUGUUAACUGAGAUGGGUGUUAGGAAGGUCUCUCCAAACUUGCACACCUAUAAUAUAUUAGUUGAUGCAUACUGCAAAGAAGGGAGGACAACACAUGCAGAAGAUGUGAUUAAAAUUAUGAUCCAGAAAGGUGUGCCUCCUAACGUAAUCACAUACAAUGCACUGAUGGAUGGUUAUUGUUUAACAGGCAAAAUGGACAGGGCACAAGAGGUGCUGAAUACCAUGAAGAGUAAUGAGAUAUGGCCAGACUGUUAUAGCUAUAACAUUCUCAUUGAUGGUCUCUGCAAGAACAGAAAACUUGACGAGGCCAGAAAUACUUUUGAUAAGCUUGCUUCGAGUGGUUUGCAACCUGACGUCAUAACACACAACAUAAUGAUCAGAGGACUUUGUCAAGAAGGGUUAUUUGAGGAAGCAAAGGAAUUACUUUCUAAAAUGGAAACGGGCAUUCAUGGUACUAGACCUAUUAUCUAAAGAAGAACAAGACCCCUCCGUUCUUGCUUUCUGCAAAUGGUUUUUGCAAUAGGUACUGAAGUUUAUGGUUCAUUGUUAUGUAUUGUCAUCUUUUUACUUCCUUGAGUUUUCUGCUGUAGUAAUAUGUUUUACUGAGCAAAGAAUUAUUCUAAUUAGCAAUGUAAGGGGUUCCAUCAGUUAAGAGCUAAUAGACAAUAUAUUUGAGACGGUAAGACUAUGUCUUUUAUUUGUAUUGAGUACGGUCUAUGUUCAAGUUGUCAUUCAGAAUUGAAACUUGGCAUCUCGAUGCCUCUUAUAUACAGAAAAAGAAAUCAGCAUUUGAUAAUAAUAAAAGAAGCCUAUGUGAUACCUCAAUAAUACAUAUAUUCAGAUAACUUUGUUCUGGAUAUACUCUUUAGCACAUAUUUUGGCUUUCACGAACAAGCUCAUUUUUCUUCCUCGUCAUAUAUGGAUAUAAUAAUAGUUACAACAUAUUGGCAUUCUUCACCAUGGUUAGAGGGUAUCCAUUUAACAGUAAUAACAAGGUAACCACUAGAUUGGUGACAGGGUAGGUCCAGUUAUUCUAAGUUCAUCACCAUGUUUGAUUAAUAUUGACUGUUAUUUCCUAUGAUUGUGGCACUUUGCUUCUCUUGCUCUACUUCAUGCUGGUCUUGCCUAUCACUGCGGAAAGUCAGCAGUUGCUGUUGGCCUCCUAUUGUUGCUGAAGUCGGCAUCUAUUCGGAUACCUAAGAAUCUAAGGGUGUGUGGGGAUUGUCAUACGGCUAUGAAAUUUUUUAUCAAAAGUUUUUGACAGGCAUAUCAUAUAAGGGACUCACACUGUUCCCAUCAUUUCAAUGAACGAAAACGUUCUUGUGGUGAUUACUAGUAUGAAGUCUUCCUGCUUUGUUAUGGCCCCUGCCUCCCAUGACAGUUAAACAGGAGCGCAAUGCACAAUGGCACUAAGAUACAUUGAAGGUAUGUCAAAACUUUUUUCUUUGACAAUUACAUGGCCCAGUAGAAAUAGUGUAUACUGCAAUAUUAAUGAAAAUGCAAUCGAUAAGUAAACAGAAUGGAAGGCAAAUUCAGUUUUCUUAUACUGAAUUUUGGUUCUUAUUAUCAUAUACUAAAGUAAUAUGUGACAAAAUCAAAUCCUUCGAUCCUUAAAUAUUUCUCAAAUAUCGGCUCUUGGAGUGUUUAUCUCAUCCUAUCAGUUUCCGGUGCAAUAUUAUUACUGUAUUGAGGCGAUGACUGAUAUAUCGUGACAUUUAAAUGCUAUGAUCCCUAAACUGACAGAUCAUUGCAUACUCUGUGCGCCACAAUUCCGAACAAAUUUACCUAGCUAGCGAAUGUACUAUUGCUUGAUGAAAUACUAAUAUCUGAUAAAUGUACACUUUGGGAUAUUUUGCAGGCUUAUACUCUUAGAAAUAGAAGCAGAAGUUGUGAUGUCAAAGUCGAUACAAAUAACUUGUAAUGUCCGAAAUAGUACAUAGCGAAUUGUGCUAAACUUUUCUUCGUCUGGUUUAUUUUUGCGCAAAAGUUCCAAGGAUAUGCAGAAAACGCAGGUAAACUGGCAUUCACUAGUAUAUUUAUCUACAACUUUGUGCCUAUAUAAUCAGGAGUAAAAAUAAAUCAUGUGUAGUACUAGACUUCAGAUGCUGCCAAUUGUCAGCAGCAGCAUAUUUAUUUAUCUUAUAUCAUUAGUCAUUAGCAUCAAACCACAUCCAUCCACUAUAGUUUUGAGACAUCACGAAACUGGGAGCCAAAAAUGUUGUUUAGUAAAUAUGCACUAUGCUGAAGAUGACUUGUGAGAGUGUGUUUGCACAAGUAGUAAUCACAAGUUUCUAGUUCAUAAAAAAUUCUGAUGGCAGUGUUCGGCAUAACCUACAAUUGUCAUAUUCUUCUUAUUUUUUAAUCAAUUUAGUGAUAUUGCUCGGUUUUUCAUUCUAUACAUUCAUAUUUAAUAGGUACUGUCCGGGUCUGGACAUUCAACGUCAGGGCAUAAUGUCAACAGGAAAAGACCGGUAAACGGCUUAAUUCUAAAUUUUGGAUGAAUAUGCAGGGGUGUUAUGGUACGUUUAACGGAAAAUUGUCUCACUUUACGUGUCACUUUAGAUGAAUAUCAGGAUAUGCUGGGGUGUGUUUUAAGCAUUCCAGUUAACAAAUUUACCUUUAAUACUGUCAGCAAUUCCUUUGCUCACUUAAAUGGUCUUGUCCCUAGUGUUGUUACCUAAAACACUCACAUGAAGGCCCUUCUAUCUCAUGCCUUUGGAGACUGAGUUUUUGUUUAAGUAGCUUAUGAGAUUUCAAGAAAUUCAGAUGGUCUCUGCAAAAUGAAUACGAAUCAUGAAUCAUAUUCCAGUUUUAGGGUAUGAUCAUUUUAUAGAAGAUAAUACGUGACCUAAAUUGAGCGGUUAUAUACUAAUAUAAGUGCUAAUAUCUGGGAUUAACAAUCAUAUUAAACGCAAUCAUCCUAUCUUUGGUGUGCUGAUGUUCUUGGACAAUAAUCCAAGCAUUGAAAACAUGCUUGGGAAUAUAGCAAAUUUUUCAUAUCAAAUUAAACCACAAAGUUUUUAAUUUAUGAUCAGUAAGGUCAGAGUAAUGGUGGCAAGUUUUACAGGCAUAGAAUUAUUUUUUAAAUAUUUAGAUUAUAUAUUGGGAUAUUAUUGACAUUAUCAGUUAAAGAGUUUUUAAAAAUAUCAAUUACUUAAACUAUAUGUUUUGUUAAAUGAGUUCAAUCAUAUUUAAGAUAAAUAAUAUCAUCAAUAUCAGUAAAAUAUGAGUUAAAUCUACUUUCUUUCUAUAUAUAAUAAGCCGACCAGGGGCAAAAUAUGCCAAGAAAAUGCCUGUGAAAUGACGAGCAUAUCCCUGAAUUAUUUAGAAUUACAAUUUUGUCACAACCAAUUGAAUCUCAGCCCAGAAUAUGACUCUUCCGCUGCUGCUGUGUCAAAGAUUUAGGGCGAUACAGGUUCUUCUGCUCCUGCUAAUUCUAACAGUACAAGCCAAACAUGUCCGCUCUCUUUAAGGUUUCUCUCUCCCCCUCCCCUCUCAUUCUGAUUUUGUGAAUAUGUGUUGUAAAAUGAUUGUUUAGCAUCUACCAUUUAAUUCUUUUUUGAUUUAUCAACUGUUUGUACAAUAAAACUUCAUCAGUUACAAAAACAUGUUUGCUCAUAUUGCUAACCUAGAUUUUGCAUUUGUUCAUCAUAUUGUCAUAUAUUUAGUCUAUUAGUUCAUAUAAGCACAAAAUUUUGAUUGUUAAAUUUAUCAGUUUCUGUAGUUGGUUUUAUUAGCAUCUACUCUGUUUUUUUUUGUUCGUAUGUAAAAUGAAGCGAUAAAGUGAUUGUGAUUGAAGGUAUUGAGCCGGUGGAACGAGUCGACACGGACAUGAACAAGCUAACCGUGAGCACAAGCAGGGAUCCCUCGAAAUUCUGAGACUUAAUUGAGAAGAGAACUAAAAACAAAGUCGAGAUCAUUUCUCCCAAAAAGCAUAAGGCCAACAAAAACGAUGGUGAUGGCAAUGACUGGAAAAAUUCCGGCGACAAGACAGCCAAAGCCGAGAAGAAAUCAAAAGAUGUAGGUGUUUAUAUGCACUACUGUAUUGCUAUAUGUAAUUUUUGGUUCAAGUUAUGUGAAAUGUAAGCUUAAAUGAUAGCAUGUUUUCUUGCAGCCUCCUGUAAGUCUGUAACAGCAGUCCUAAAGGUACCUCUGCUUUGUGAUGGCUGUAUUCAGAAAAUUCAGAAGCUUGUCUACAAAACAAAAGGUAAGUUCUUGAGUGUCAAUUUCAUAAUGAUAACUAACCCAUAAUAUAUAAUAUUAAUGAUAUAUUGAAUUAAGUUUUUUUUCAAAAAUGAUUAAUUUAAAUAUCAAAUCGUAUAAAAAAUAUUUAUAUAUCUACUUAUAUGUAAUGAUUGAAUCUGUAUGGUUGGAUUUUCAAUUAAAUAAAUUUAAUUCUGAAAGCACUAAACAGAAUAGAAAGAUAUUAGUUGCAUGAUGCAUGUAUAAUAGGUUCCAAAGCCGUACAUGUUCUCAGAAAGCAUCUAUUAAAAAAUCAAGAAGACUGCCGGAUGUGAUGCCUGAUGGGUCAUAUAAAUUUCUUUUAUAUGGGUUUUGCUAUGAUAAGUCGAAUGGUGAUUUUUAAGUAUCUCUAUCUUUCAUGGUCUUGCUGUAGGAAAUAAAAUAUCCAUUUAUAGCUCAAAAAACCCAUGGUUGGAGAAUGAUGGGAGAUUUUCCUUAUGCGGCGGGCUCAUUGUCGCCAUGGGAUGUGAAUUACAGGGGGCUGUUAGCAGAUGAAGCUAUGUACUGGGUUUUUAGACCUAGCGAGAAAGCUAGGGUUAUCGUUUCUCUGUACAUAAAACCAGAGACGGAGAAGGGUAUGCAGGUGGAUGUUGGGCACUUUUUGCAAAAGCAUUUUCUUAUGUAAAUUUAAAGUACUCAUUCUGAUUUCUGGGUGAUGGAAAAAUAUGGUGCGGAAGUCUUGGACAAAGCUGUUCAGCAUCCCUUAUGUUGAUAGUAUUCGACUCCUUGAUUUCAUAAAAUCAAAUAGAUUAAAAUGGAGUAAAUAGUAAACUUAUUUCAGCGUUUUUGAACUCCUAAGUGCUUUCAUACAUAAAGGGUUGGUCAUUUUCUCUUAUUUUGGCAGGUUAAGUUUGAAGAGACUUAUAAAAAGUAGAAGGACAAUGACCAAGUUCUUCUUAAAGUUGCAGGAAAGAGUAGGCCGCUUAACUGCAAUAUGAAUUGGAACCUGUUUAGGCUAAGCUCCGUGUGGGAUAGAUUUGCACAAGACAAUUCAUUUUCUGUAGGUGACAAUUGUGUCUUUGAACUGAUAAAUACCCAUGCAUCAGUCAUACCCUUACUUCAGAAUCAACCUAUACCCAUCUUCCUUGUAUGGUGGAUCCUUGGUAAGCUGUUCAGUUGAUAUAAGCUAUGUUAUUGUUUGGGUAUUAUUGAGAUAAACCUACUUAUAUAUAUAUAUAUAUUAAAACAAAAUCAAGGGCAAAAUAUAUCAAGAAAUUGAUAGGAAAAUUACGUGUAAGUCCUUGUGAGACAUUAAAUUAUAGUUAUACCAUCAGUUCAUAAAUGUUUCAUCUGUGAGCCUUUUUUAGUUUUUCAUCGCACAGUAAAGCUUGAAACGGAGCAGGAUCAAAAGGUAGACAAAGGAGUAUCAAGGGAUCACUCACUCAAAUGUUGUGUUGAGCAUUUUUUUUGUUACUAGAGAGAGAAAUUAGAGAGAAAAUUGAACGGGGUUUAUAAGCUAGGGUUUGUCAAAAUUCAGUAGUUAAUUUCUAGGGUUUAAUUUGAUUGUAAAGUCUCGUAAUGCUGGAAAAUCAGCCGUGCUUUCAGAUGACGAAGGUAAUUAAUUAAUUGUGAAUUAUCACUGUAAUAUGUUCCUAAAGUGCUGUUUAUUUUUUGUCUGAUUUUAUUUUUGUGCAUUUGCGUGUACAGAUGAGAUGGAGGAUUGGAGGUGUAUGAUAACAAAGAAGAAGAAGAUGAUGAAGACGGUAAAAGCUUAUUUAUAAUUUAUUCGUUAUAGGUUUUCAUUUGUUUUUUCCAGUUAUGUGUGAGUUUUUGUUAGUUUGUGUGAAAUUUUGGUGAUUGUAAUGUAGGUUUUAAUUUAGUGUUUUUCCAUAGUUGUGUUCUUGCAUCUGGAUUGUUUUUUGUGUAUGAGGUGAUGUUAGGUUUAUAUGACGUUUUUUCAUUUCUCCUGCAUGCGGUUUAUGAGAUGUUUUGGCGAUUCAUGUUGCAUGUCACUUUCAGAAACAGUUCUUUUUUCUUUAUAUUGUGACACUGUAUUAAUUAAUAACUAGCUGCUAGGACGGGGUAGGUUACUUUAAGAUUUUCCUCUUUUAGAGGCAUGUUUUCUAUUAUAUGGUUACUGCAUGUUUGCAUCUUACUUGUUUGUUAUUAAGAUUUUAGGAGUCGUGGAGCUGUUUUAUUAAUAUUGUUGAUUAACUGCUUGCUUGAGUGUUCAGAAUAUACUUCGUGUCUUUUGUUUCGGCUUUAAUAUUUUUUCUAGAGAGAGGUCCAUGAGAGCAAGUAUUCUGGGGUGUUGAUAUGUUAUGUUCCUUGCAGUUUUGCACUCAAAAAGCGUCACUUGGGCAAGUCUAAUUUUAAAAUUUUCUUAUGGCGUAUUUGGAUGAAUUCAUACCUUGAUCAAGGACAGGACAGAAUGAAUACGAGAAUGAGGGUUUUAUAGUGGAUGAUGAAAACAAGGAGUUGGUGGUGACAGUGAUGAGGAAAUGCAAAAGAAAAGGAGGCGGAAUAAAAGGUUAGUGAAUUUUUUUUUGAGCCCCGGAGUAAUAUUGCAUUUCUGUUGGCUAAACACUGUUUCCAAAAAAUUGCAGGGAAUCCUAGAACUACAUUAUUGAUGAAGAUGACUAUGAGCUGCUUGAGAAUAAUAAUGUCGCGGGUCUCCGGCGUCCAGAAGUGGGUUCAAGCAAUCAAUAACAUGGGUGUUUUUCUCGUGAUUCUAAUCAUGUGCCCAUAGUUGUAGUCCUUGAAAUUCAUGUUUUGAUUUAGCAGAGUGUAAAAAGUUCAAGCGUUUUAAAAAGCUCACAGGGAUCAUCAUUCUGGACUUUCUGGUGGCAAUGAGUUCGAUAGAUCUGGGAGGGAUUUGUUCCAACACAGCUUAUUUGGGGAUGACGAGGGUAAAACUUUGUGAGCACAAUUUCAAAAUGCUGAUUGUAUGUUACUCACCAUUUUCGUAAUGUAUAUGUUUAAAAAGUUGUGGCAACAGAACUCGAACACAUUGCAGGAGAGGAGCAACUAGAAGAAGACAAUGAACUUGGGGAUGAGGACGAUUUGGGUAAUUUCAUUGCUGAGGAAGAUUUGGACAAGCAUGGUGCUCCUAUGAGGUGAGCAUUUAGUUCAUUGGAACUUUCUCUUUGCAGAUGUUUUUGUAAGUUAUUACUUACACGAUUAGCCAUCAUUCAGGAGGGGUGUAACUAAGAAAAAAGCCUAGGCAGGCACAAGUAGUCUCUUUAUCUGCAUUACAGGAAGCUCAUGAUUUAUUUGGAAAUGUGGACGAUUUAUUCAAGCCUCGUGCAUAUCAUGAUGACUCUGGCAUAAGAAAGGAAAGAAGGAUUUGCGGUGGAUUUGAUCCAACUAUUCUCGCAGAAACGUAGAUGACUGAGAAGGAUGACUUGAUUCGUAACACAGAUUUUCUAGAAAGGUAGCAGGUAAAGAGUGAGUUGGAUAUAUUUCUGUACUUGACAUGUCUGCCAACUACUUGGGUUCGCAAUGAGCUAGAAACAUGAUACAUUUGUUUGGAAGAAUUGAAAUCAGUGAGCUGUUAAUAGUCAAGGAAGACGUGAUGAGAUUUUGGAUUUUAUUCAUAUCCAUAAAUUGGAUGUAGGUGUUGGACUUCAUGUUUAAAUAAUAACAUUGCUGUUACAUAUUCUUGCUUUAGGUGCCUUUUAUUGCAAUGUACAGAAAGGAUAGUCUCAGAAGCUAAACUUGCCUCUUCAAAAUUUCGUCUCCAAAGUGUAAUUUUUUUUUUUUUUUAUCUUUUAGCCUCGCUUUCAUAGCAGAUUAAAAUAUAUAUAUAAUUAUUAUAAAAAUUUUGAAAUAAAAUAACGAUGAAAUAAAUUGAAAGCCCGUGCAUUGCACGGGCUUUUAUGCUAGUUAAUAAUUUUAUAUUUAAACAGGUACUGCCGUCUGCCGUCGUCCCUCUCAAUUCUUAACAUUUGGAGAUGUGGGCGUGGCACAUUGGGGGAUGUGGGCGUGGCACGCACUUUGAUGCGCUUAAAAAAUAUAGUUCUAUAACUCUUCUUAAAAUUUUUUUUUCUGAAUAAAAAAUUAUAGAACUAUGUUUUAUACGUUCAUUAAAGUGCAUGUCAGACAGUGGAAAAAAAUGUUAAGAAAUGAAUGGGACAGUAGAGGGAAUAUUAGCUAGAAGUAUAUUAUUAAUAAUUUUGUUUAAUAUUAUGUUUAAGCUAGAUUUGAAAUUCGGUGUAGUUUGGUGUUUAGUUGGUUUGAUUUGAGUCUUGUUUUGGUCAAAAAUGGACAGUUUAGGGAUUUUUUAGUGUAGAAUUUGUUGUUGAAUUUGGUUUAGAGUUUAGUGAGUUUUUAUUUGUUAUAUUUGGAAUGACUAGAUUUUCCGUAAAAAUUAAUUUUCCAGUGAGAUUUAAGUUAUUCCGGUGACCUCCAUAAAUUCCGGUGAUUAGCUUUUGUUUGUUUAGUUUUGGUUGGGGUUUGCGCGCGACGACGGCGAGCAACUAUUUUCUUAUUUCGUGUGCACUCUGUUUUUGAUUUCACGUACUGAUAUGCGGCUUGUUGAUUUUUUGUUUUUUGUUUUUAUAUUUUGUUUUCUUUUUAUUUUUAAUUAUUAGUUUAAUAAUAGUUAUUAACUAAUUACAAUAGCUGUUUAUCAAUUUUAGGUGAAUAAUUAAUAAUUAUAUAUUAUUUUCUUAUUUUAAUUAUCAACUUAGAUUAAUCCGAAUUCUACUCAAAAUUUUUUGGUCUAAUUUGAUUAAAUUAAAGAUUAAAAUUUUCGCGAGAAUAAUUUUAGUCCUUGUGUAACGAAUCUUAUAUUAUUAAAUUAAAGAUUAAGAUUUUCUUAUUUAUUAUUAUUUUAAUAAUCGGUUCGGUUCGGUUUUUUGCGGUUCGGUUUUCACUUAAAACCGGAACCGUAUCCAUUAGAAUCGGUUCGUAUUUAAAAUUUUCGGUUUCAGUUCGGAUAUUUUUAUACGGUUCGAUUUUUGAUCGGUUUUACCGAUUUUAGGUUCGGUUUCUGUUUUAAUUCGGUUUUUUGCUCACCCCUGAUGGCAGGAAUUCUAUCUGUAUGAAAUAUGUGAACUUGCCUUUGUCAUUUUUCCGCAUCUGUUCCGUUCUGCCCUUGGUUGAGAAAAACUUUAUGUUUUACUUUCAGCAUUUUUAUAAGCUUUUUCAUGGCAUCCAUGUCUGACAUCUUAUUCAGCUUUUCAAAUCUCUCUCGCCAAUAUUUUUUUUAAACCGUUCUGCCCCUUCAUCACCCCUAGCUUUGGCACCCGCAGGUUCACUCGCCUCCAAGGAAUACCUAUUUUCUUCCAGCCAAUCUAACAAGUGGUCCGCUCUUUUCAAAUUCAUAUCUUCUACCAGCUGCUUUUUCAUUUUCUGUAGUAUUUGAACGACGUAGCCUGUUUUCUCCUCUCUAUUUAUCAACUGUUCCAUUCUACCUGCAGUCAAUUUUUUGUAAAGGUUUGUGGCGAGUGCCCGUUGCUUCUUCCUUUCAAACUCCGAAUCAAAUAGGCUAAACAAUUUGAAAUAUGAUGAACCCAAUUUAACUUUUCUUGGCUCAUCUGCAAUACAAAAAUACAAACUCCAAAUUAAACAGAUAAAACUAGGAUAUACCAUAUCCUAGCUCUUUAAAGACCAAGGCAAUGUAGUAAACUGAUAAAACGAGCUAGCCCAUAAAUUAACCAAAGAUUUUUUUGUGAGCAACGAUGACUCGACCCAGAAACAUAAUCUCUGCAAUCACAACAAGAAGAACACAUAUAGGCAUUAAAUCUGAGCAUUUUCUCCUUAUUUUUUGUGGGUGUUUUCUGGUUGAGCUUAUUGUUAAAUGUAUAAAGUUUGAAUCUUUCUUCUUUUAUAUGUGUAAAGGUUGAAUCUUUAUUGUUUUGAUUGUUUAAAGGUUGAAUCUUUAUUGUUUUUCUCAAGAGGGGUUGUUUAAUUUUCAUUAAAUUUUGUUUGGUGUGUUGUGUUUUAGUGGAGAUGAAGUAAAGGAGGAGAGUUCGGGAGUGCGUGGAGCAAUGAGGAGUGCUUUCUUUUGGUUCUUCCGAGCCAUUUGAAUGUUGGUGCUCAUAUCAUAUGGGAGCCAAAUGUGAGAAAAAGAAGGUGAUGACAAGUGGAUUGUGGAUGAUGUGUAGAGCAUCUGGGAUAUACUCCCUCCCUCCCGCCAGGUUUUUUACGUUACUUUUCGACACGCAUUUUAAGACCUUUAUAAAGUAUACUUACAUUAUAUUUAUUUUUAAAAAAAAAUUCUCAAAAAAAGUUUGGUGUUUAAACUUUUAUCCAAAAAAAAAUAAUUAAAAAUACGUUAUAGAGCUAUACUUUAUAAGAGUCUCAAAAUGCGUGCAAACAGUGCACGUAAGCUUCCUGGUGAGACGGAGGGAGUAUAAAUUAAGGAUAACCGAAUCGAGUGGAGUUUAAGUUUUUUCACAAAUCUUUUUACUUAUCAUGUAAGUUACGUGCAAGUUCAAUAGGUUAUUUAAAUGAGAUCCUAAAUUCGUUUUUAAGUAAUAUCUCAAAAAUAUGCACUCCAUGACUCCAACACUAUCUUAGUGAUACUUAAAUCACUUGUACAAUCUCAAAUCUCUUAACUAUUACCUAAGUAACCUCUAGCCAUUAUCUAUUUAAUAUUUAAGAAUAAAAUAAUCAUCUCUUUUUUUUUUUCUUUUCCCCUUCUCUCUCAAAGCUAUUACUGUAUUAAAAUAAUUUUAAGAGAACAAAUAUAGCAAUUGCUAUCGGAGUUGACACUAAAAUUAGAUUACCUAAAUCAAUAAGUAAUGAGAUAGGUAAUCUAUCGGACUUGAUCUAAGGAAGCUCAAGAGAUUUAUCUAGCAUAUUUCUGCAGCUAAACUUGAGUUGAUUCGCAAUUAAUUUGUCUAGGAGAAAAUUAUUUCGAAUUGAAUUCUAAAUUAAAAUUUAUAUUUUUUUUAUUUAGACUUGUUUUAAUAAAAUAUUAAAUUAUAGUAAGUUCAAUUUGAAAUAUAUUACAUAAUUAGAAUUUAAUAACUAAAUUAUAAAAGUAAGAUUUUAAAUAUUGAGUCAUGUGAAUGCAUGAUUUAUUUCAUAGAAUAGAAUUUUCAGUUGUAACAUUAAACAAAAUCUAAAUUCUUUAUGAAAAAACGACCGAUUAAUAAUAUUAUGACAUGAGUCAAAAACUACAUUCUUAAAAUAUAAUAUACUGAUUCAUGGAAAUUUAACUAAAAUUAUGAGCUUUUUUAAUAAAACAUUAAAGAAAAUUGUGUCGACAUGAACUUUUUUUUUUUUGGGAUUUUGUGGAACUGGCCAUAAAUUUAAGGCCUUUAAAUUGUUUUGGCAAAUGAGAUUUGAAAGGUACAAAAUAAGUCGGUUUAUAUUAGAUUUAGUGAUAUGUAUGUUGUCUAUUGAAGAAAAUAUUAGUGAUAUGCUGCUAAAUUUUUUUGGGUAAGAAUGAUUUUGUUGUGAUGGGAGUAGUUGAUAUGCACUCAGUGCAGGAAGAAUUUGAAAGAGGAAUUAUGUUUUUUUGAUUGCUAUGAUUAGUGGAAUUAUAUGCUAUUUAUAACUUGUGCAACGUUUCUCCUUGUGGCGUGAAAAUAAAAAAUAUUUUUUAAUAGAGAAAAGUGCACUUUGUGUAUGUGGACUUUAUCUGUUACCACACUUUCAAUAUUGUACUUUAAUAUCCUACACCCGAUAUAUCGUACUUCUCUAUUUUAUGUAGUAACUGUACUACUGUCAGUCUGUCAUGGUGAGAUUAAAUUGUAAUUAACAGGGUUAAUUCAGUAUUUUAAAUAUCAAGUUUCUACCUAUACCCUAAGCUAAAAAGACGCGACAAUCAGAGUGUAUGCACAGAUCAUUUCCUUUCAUUCACGAACUUAUUCCACAUUUAUCGUUGUGUUGACUUGAUGCAUAAUUAUAUUUAAUGUUAUCGAAAAAUGUAGAGGGACUCGCACAACAGAACAUGAGAUGAAAGCAAUGAAAGUCCCCUAGUACAUAUAUGUGUUCAAGUCAUGCUCGUAAAAAGUGGGAAUCAAAUUUGAGUGUAACCGGUAAAUUGAUGGGAUAUUUUAAAAUAUUUUAUAAGGAUUAAUCAAGAUUUUUUAAUAAAUCCGGAUUUUUAAAAUACACUGCAGCUCAGAGAAGCUUCAGCAAUGGCGGCCAAGAGAGGAGCUCUUCUCACAAUGACUUGUUUCAGCUUAAGGCCUCUCAGUGUAAGAAGCCCUUGUUCUCUUUCAUCCUCUCUUUUUCGUUCUCAUUUUCUUCCUUUCUCUACUAAACCUAACCCUAAUUCACAACCCAAAGCCCCCUUUAUUCCUUCUCCAUCCACCACUCAUACUCGACUAAAACUACUACUCUAUCAGAAAUCCAAGGUUGGUUUUGAUAAACUCGACGAUGCUCUUCUUGUGUUCGAUAAAAUGCUCCGUCUGAAAUCUGGGCUUUCUGUUGUGCAUUUCACACAACUGUUAACCGCCCUCGUUCGAAUGGAAGAGUACUCUGUUGCCGUCUCCAUGUUUAGAGAAUUCCGUGUUUUAAGCAUUCCUGUUAAUAUUGUUACCUUUAAUACUGCCAUCCAUUCCUGUUGUCACUUGAAUACGCUUAAUUAUGCCUUUUCAUUGCUUGCUGGAAUCAUCAAGAGUGGUUGGGUGCCUGAUGUAUUUACCUACACCACUCUCAUCAAGGGCCUUCUAUCUCAAGACAGGCCUUUGGAGGCUGGGGAUUUGUUUAAGAAGCUUAUCAAAUUUCAAGAAAUUCAGCCCAGUGUAGUUACGUAUAACACCAUCAUUGACGGUCUCUGCAAAACUUCAAAUACCUCCAUGGCUCUCAAGUUGUUAAGAAAGAUGGAGGAGAUAGGUUGUAACCCCGAUGCGGUAACUUUUAACUCAAUUAUUGAUUCUUUGUGCAAAGAGAGACGAGUCGAUCAUGCAUUGGAUCUUGUGUCUGAAAUGACCGCCAAAGGCAUAUCACCUGAUGUUAUAACCUAUAACACGCUACUUCAAGGUCUUUGCAGCUCCGGCCGAUGGGAGGACACUGAGAGUUUGUUAACUGAGAUGGGUGUUAGGAAGAUCUCUCCAAACUUGCACACCUAUAAUAUAUUAGUUGAUGCAUACUGCAAAGAAGGGAGGACAACAGAUGCAGAAGAUGUGAUUGAAAUUAUGAUCCAGAAAGGUGUGCCUCCUAACGUAAUCACAUACAAUGCACUAAUGUAUGCUUAUUGUUUAACAGGCAAAAUGGACAGGGCACAAGAGGGGCUGAAUACCAUGAAGAGUAAUGAGAUAUGGCCAGACUGUUAUAGCUAUAACAUUUUGAUAAAUGGCUAUUGUAAGACACAGAAAGUAGACAAAGCCAUUUAUCUCCUCAGACAAAUGCCUGUUGAAGGUAUAAAGCCUGAUGUUCAAACGUACACCACCAUCAUACAUGGUUUGUUUCAGAUGGGUAGACAUAAUGAGGUGCGGAACCUUUUCCCUGAAAUGCUAAAAACAGGUAAUAAACCAAAUAUCGUAACAUGUCGAAUUCUAUUGGAUGGCCUUUGCAAGAACCAAUACAUGGAUGAAGCAAUUUCCUUCUUUGAAAUGAUGGAAUGUAAAGGUAUAGUUCAUGAUAUUCAAAUACAUAAUAUUCUCAUUGAUGGCCUUUGCAAGAACAGAAAACUUGAUGAGGCCAGAAAUAUUUUUGAUAAGCUUGCUUCGAGUGGUUUGCAACCCAAUGUGGAGACAUACACUACAAUGAUUCAAGGAUUUUGUCAAGAAGGCUUGUUUGAUGAAGCAAAGGUAUUACUUUCUGAAAUGGAAACUAGCGGUUGUUUGCCUGAUGAUGUGACUUGCAACACGAUCAUCCGUGGAAGUCUUUCGGAUAAAAGAUACGAAGAGGCAGUUGUACUGAUUGAGAACAUGCGAGCUCACAAAUUCUCAGCGGAUGCAUCUACCACAUCCAUGUUAGUAGACCUGGACCCCACCGUUCUUGCUUUCUGCAUAUGGUUUUUGCAACAGGUACUGAAAUUUACGGUUCAUUGUUAUUUUUUAUCAUCUCCUAACUUCUUUAAGUUAUCUGCUAUAGUAAUAUGUUUUGCUGAGUAAAAAUUUAUAUUGUUGGCAACUUAAGGGGUACCAUCAGUUAUUUUAGAGGAAAUAGACAAUGGAUUAGUGACUGUAAUACUACCUCUUCUAUAUGUAUUAAGGACAGUCUAUGUACAAGUUGUCAUUCUGAAUUGAAAGCUAGCAUUUCGACGCUUCCCAUAAUACAGAAAAAGAAAUCAGCAUUUAAAAACAAUAAAAGAAGCCUCUGUACUAUCUCUAUAAUGCAUAAAUCAGAUAACUUCAUUCCUGAUAUAACGUUCAGCACGCAUAUUCAGGCUUUCACAAACUAGCUCAUAUCUCUUUCUCCGGAUAUUAUCUGUUAUACCAUUCUGACUUCUAUUUCUUCUACUAUUAAAAGGAUUGUGACUAAGUAAAAGCAAUGCCAAGUAGUAUUAUCUAUGGAUACGGUUGAAUCAAGUAAUAUUACUGCUACAAACCACUGAUAAUAGGAGGAUUAAGCACUAUUGAACAGGAAUGAAAAUAUAACUCAGACCAACAUUGAUGGUUCCGAUCUACCUUGAAAUAAAAAUGCCCUCCGAUCGAGGAGUGGUUCAGCCUCCGUAGAAUAACGACAAGCUAAACGAAGUGUAUUUUAUUUGGAGAUCAAAAGAGAAUUUAUAUAGAGAUUUGAGCGUUCGAGAGGGUCAGGCUCCGCUAAUUAAAAUAAGAACAAAAACUCUUAAAUGAAUGGAUAAUCCCUACUUUUUCCUUACAAUUCCUUUAUGUCUCCCCCCUUCCGCUUGCUAGCCUAACCCUGCUAUUUAACUCCAUUAUGCUAAGUUGGCUCCUGGAGAUGCACUAAUAUAGAUAACAAAACAGAGAUUUGUAAAAAUUUACCUGAGAGGUCAACAUGGUUGGAGUUGGAACAUUAUCUGCAGUUUUCUAAAUUUGAAUUGGCACAUCAUAGUUAGCUAGUGGGUUGUAGUUAAAUUUGCUAUUAUUGGCAAGGGAAGUUGGGGAAAAGAUAAUUCUAUCUCAAUUCUCAAGGAUAUUCCGGCACUAUUAGAGUGACUGAUGAAAUGACUGUUUCGCAACUUUUGUGGUCUAUGGGAUUACACAAAAUUACAAGUUGAAACAGAAAAUGAAGUAUGAAUGUUGCUUGCUGAAUCACAAGGAGCUUACAGCUAAUGAGUUAUGACAUGUCGCUGAAAUUUUCGUGCGUCAAAGCAGUAAACUACUAUGAAAUGGAAUAAGGUUAAUUGAACAGCUAUCAUAUGGCAGGUUUUAGUUGUAUAUAAUGCAUUAUUAUUGGGAUUUCUAUAUAGUGAUACUUUUGAUUCUGCUCGCUACUAAAAAUGCGUAAAACUAAAUUGUGGUGUAUAUUUUAUAGAACACUAGGAAGCGAGAUUCUGCGUCUAUUCUCCAGAGAUUUGUAUUAUAGAGUGUCCGCAAGAAUAUAGUUUCUUUGGUUUAUGCUUUUCUCAUGUUCUCCUUGUUUCAUCCAUGUGGCUUUGGCAGAGACAAAACAGUGAUAUUAGGCUAUUCGGCUUGGAAAGAUAGCUGAAUUUUCGAAUAAACUUGUAUUUCUAUGGUUCAAUAAUUUAAUGUGGAAAAUUAAGUUUCGGUUUGUUAGGUGAAAUUUUUAAUGGUUGCGCAAUAUUUUCUUUCUAAUAUGUAUAGUCCCUUAUAUGUUUAUGCUUCCUGUUUGAUAUUGUGCAGAAAAAUGAUCACGCUGACAGCUCGAGGCAUUCUUGAUUUGAGAAGAUCAGUCAAAUAGAUCUGAAGGUCUCUACAUCAAGUGCUGGAUAACUAAAGUGCAUCCCUUAGGCCCUCAUUUAUUUGUGCUUCCUGUUUGAUAGAGGACUGCUGAUUAGAAAUGCAGAAAAAUGAUCAGAAAAGUAUGAAUUCAUCGUCUUUACUCCUUUGCCAGUAAGUCUUUAAAAGAUAUAGGUCAUAGACCUAACUCUAUGUACUCACAGAUCUCAUCAAGUGGCCCCUUGAAUGGAGUAAUAAGCAUUUCAAAUGACUUCUGCACAAAUUUUAUCGUUCGUUUCUUCGAGUAUUAUCUCUUACGUGCCAACUAAUUCACCGUCGAACUUCAAAAUGUCAUCAAACUUCACAGGUUUAACGUCGCUGUACUGGUUAAUUUUUACAGACAAUUGAGAUUACAUCAGCAUAGCGAUGAUGGAUCCUGACAGAUAUUGGCUCCCCAGAUUAACAAGAGCAAACUUGAAUUUUUGGUCCCAUAUUCUGUAUGAGCAACAACUUAAGGGGUUUUCACCAGGUUGUUGCCAUCAAUCCGAUUCCAUGCUCAUCUGAAACACAAUGUUUGGCAAUCUGGAGUCAAGUAUUUUUUCGAUUUCAAGCCAGCGCCAUUUAGAAUUAGUUCCCCUGCAACAGCAUCGAUGAAUAAGAACCAUAUUCAGAAAAAGUAGCAUUUUGAUGCGUCUCAUAUACGGAAGAAAUAAGCAUUUAAAAAUAAUAAAAGAAGCCCAUGUUCAAAUAACUUUGUUCUAGAUAUAUAAUCUUCAGCACAUAUUCUGACUUUUACGAUCAAGCUCAUUUCUCUUCCUCGUCAUAUCUGGAUUAAAUACUUGUUACAUCAUAAAUGCAUUCUUCACCAUGGUGAGACGGUAUCCAGUUUCUAUUUAUUUUUCAAUAUACGAACCAUAGAGUGCCCGAAGAAGAGCUGAUGAACUCAAUGAAAAGUAGGGUUUUUCAUUACAAGAACGGAUGACAUGAUGCUUUUUGAUGAUACUAAAGGUCGAAAAUGAUUGAAACCAAAGAUGAUGCUUCUCAUCGAUACUGAAGUGUAAUGAUGAUACUGAACUGAUCAUGAUACUAAAUUGCAAGCCAUUAUAUGCAGCAUAUACAAUUUUAUAUUAUUAUGUAGAUAGAUGUAUACACAAAAUAAAGUUUAUGUGAAAUGAUACAAGGGAGCUAGAUGAUUUUGUUCUGGUAAUUAUAUACGGUUUGGUUUAAUAAUACUAAAAUAAAUUCAAUUUUAGAUUUGAUUUAAAAUAUAAUAUUUUAAUUAUUGCCCCUGGUUUAGAUCAUUAUGCUUGUAUGAUUGAUCUUUCAUCAUUAUAAAAUAAAAGAAUCUAAAUUUUUUGGUUCAUCAUUUAGUCAAUAUCUGAGCUAAUCUACUAAUCAUAUUAUUAUAAAAUUUACUAUAAUAUUAAUAUAUUAUUCAAACUAAUUUAUGUUUAAUAUUACAAUCUUGAACCAUUAUUAAAAAUAACUUGUGUAUACGACAUGAUAUAAUUUAAUAUUAUUAAAAUUUAAAAAUAAAUAUAUAUAUUUGAAUAUGUUUAUUUAUUAAGUAAAUUAUAUAGUAGUGGUCGUAUUUUAACUAUACUUAAAAAAAUGUGAUCAGAUUUUCAAAAUUACAAAUUAAUAUCCAAAUUUAAUUUAAAAUAAUGAUAUUAGUUAAACUUUUUCUAAAAUGAUAACUGUAUUUUAUUCAUUUUAUAAAAUAAUGACCAACUCUGACUUCACAAAUGGAUUAUUCUUUUAAAAGACGAAUGUAAAAUUUGAACAUUAAUUUUUGAAAUUAAAAUUUGGCCAUUUUAAUGAAAUAUAAUGAAAAAUAUGGCUAUCAUUCGAUAAUAUAUUUUAAUUUAUUUUAUAAACUUACCUAUUUUAGAGUGUACAUAAUUCAUCAAAAAAUUAUUUCAACGAAUUUAAAUACCAUUUGACGUUGCUGUUGUAGACAGCAACUACAAUUUUUUGCUGAAAAAUAGCUGAAAAAAUGUUUGAUAAAUCUAAAAGUAAAAUUUCCGAACAUCAGCUUUUAUCUAAAAGGCUGUUUUCAGAAAAAACAGGUCCACUGUUGCAAAUUUCUGUUAGAUUAAUUUUAUUUAUUUAUUUACUUAGUCAAAAUAAGUUCUAAUAUUUAGGAAUUGUCAAGUAGCUGUUAGUCGUGAUUGUUUUAGAGUCUUCUAUUUUUCAGAUUUAGUUGCUUGUUUUCAGGAUAGUGCACAUGAUAGUGCAUAACAGUUUGUUAUUUUUAUUCUAUUUAUUAAAUGGUCAGCACUUGUACUCUUUGAGUUCUCGGUUAAUAAGAAGUUGGUUUCAGCAGUAUAUCUUCUUCUUCUUUCUGUCAAUUUAAGCUAACAGUGGUAUCAGAGCGAAACACUUUUCCUUGUUUCAGAAUUAUUUGUCAUCAGCUAAACGCUGCAGCAUAGUGAUGACAUCUGAAAAUAACUUUGUCCAAGCUUCAAUCCCUCGUUUUGAUGGUCACUAUGAUCAUUGGAGUAUGCUAAUGGAGAACUUCUUGAGGUCCAAGGAGUAUUGGCAGAUUGUUACGGAUGGUGUUAAAGAGGUUACGAAAGACACACCAGACGCGCAGAAACCUGAAAUUGAGGCACAAACAUUGAAGGAUUUUAAAGCGAAGAAUUAUCUAUUCCAAGCCAUUGAUAGGUCCACUUUAGAGACUAUUCUUUACAAAGAUACCUCUAAAGAUAUAUGGGAUGCAAUGAAAAAGAAAUACCAAGGGAAUGAAAGAGCUAAAAGGGUGUUGCUGCAAUCACUCCGUGAGGAGUUUGAUAGUUUAAAAAUGAAGCCAGGAGAGUCUAUUGCUGAUUUUUUCUCAAGGACAAUGGCAAUUGUUAACAAGUUACGAAUUAAUGGAGACAAAAAGGAGGAUGUUACCGUGGUGGAAAAGAUUCUUCGCUCUUUAACAUCAAAGUAUAAUUAUAUAGUUUGCUCAAUAGAAGAGUCCAAAAACAUUGACCAUCUAUCUAUUGAGGAACUUGAAAAUUCUCUGAAAGUUCACGAGCGAAAGCUUAUCAAGCAAGAUGAGGAGGAGCAAGCUCUACAUGUAUCCAGCGGCAAUCAUUCUAAACCAGUCAACAACUAUCACAAAGGAGGCAGCAAUGGUUAUAAAAGUCGUGCAAAUCAGGAGCACCAAGGGAGGAAAUUUGGCAAAGGAGGACAUCAAUCAUUUGGUAACAAAUCCAGGUCAGUAGACAAGUCUGCAAUUGAAUGUCAUCGUUGUCAUAAGUUUGGUCACUAUAAGUCUGAAUGUUAUACAAAUCUGAAUAAACGGAAUGUUGAAAGAAGUAAUUUUGUUAAAGUUGAGGAUACAUCUGAAGAGGUGACUUUACUAAUGGUGUGCCAUGAGACAGAGAAAACGAAAUUAAACAUGUGGUAUUUAGAUACCGGUUGUAGCAAUCACAUGUGUGGGAAUGAGAGUGCAUUUUCUGAGUUAGACAAAUCCUUUAAUCAUAAUGUGAAAUUUGGGGAUAAUUCAACCAUUUCUGUUCUGGGAAAAGGGAAAGUCACUGUUCAAGGCAAAGGAAAUGUAGGUCACACUAUUUCAGAUGUUCUUUUUGUUCCUGAUUUGAAAACAAACUUGCUUAGUGUUGGACAACUGCAAGAUAUGGGGUAUGAAAUAUGUAUUAAGAAUGGUGUGUGUACGAUUAAAGAGAAGAAAUUGGGGCUGAUAGCUGAGGUAAAAAUGACACACAACAGAAUGUUUCCGCUUUAUCUGCACACUCUCAAUUAUUCAUGUUUCUCAGCAAUGUUAAAUGAUGCAUCAUGGUUGUGGCAUUUUCGAUAUGGUCAUUUAAAUUUUGCUGGUUUGCAAACACUUUCACGAAAAAAUAUGGUGUUUGGUCUUUCCCAAAUAAGUGCUCCAUCUGAAGUUUGUGAAGAUUGUGUUGUUAGCAAACAACAUAGGGAUCCAUUCCCUAAAGGAAAGUCUGUGAGAGCCAAGGAGGUGUUGGAACUGAUCCAUUCCGAUAUUUGUGGGCCUAUGAAUCAUAUGUCUAAUGGAGGGAAAAGGUAUUUUAUAACCUUUGUUGAUGAUUUUAGUCGGAAAGUGUGGGUUGAUUUUUUGCAAACAAAGGAUGAAGCAUUUCUGGCAUUCAAAAAUUACAAAGCACUUGUGGAAAAGGAAACAGGCAAAUCUAUUCAAGUACUCCGCACGGAUCGUGGAGGAGAAUAUACCUCGCACGAUUUUGUGAAGUUCUGUGAAAAUCAUGGCAUUAAAAAACAGCUUACAGCAGCCUAUACACCUCAGCAAAACGGUGUCAGUGAAAGAAAAAACCGGACGAUCCUUAAUAUGGUUCGAAGUCUUUUGUCCAUGAGCGGAGUGCCAAAGAAUUUUUGGCCAGAAGCAGUAAAUUGGAGUAUUCAUGUUUUAAAUAGAAGUCCUACUUCUUCUGUUAAAAAUAUGACUCCGCAGGAAGCUUGGAAAGGUGAAAAACCUGAUGUAAAUCAUUUCAGAAUUUUUGGGAGCAUUGCAUAUGCCCAUAUUCCUGAUCAAAGAAGAAAAAAACUCGAUAAAAAGGGAGAAAAAUGCAUUUUUCUUGGUAUUAGCGAGCCAACAAAGGCUUACAAGCUGUAUAAUCCUAUUACCAAGAAGAUAGUGGUGAGCCGAGAUGUAGUGUUCGAUGAAAAAAAAUUCUGGUCUUGGAGUAGCACUAGUGGUGAUGAUUCUCAACAGAUUCCAGCAGAUUUUGAUGUCGAAUAUGAUGCUGAUAUGCAAAUGCAACAACAGAAAAUUCCUGAUGUUGCAGCACCUGGUAACUAAUCAAAUGUUGAUUCUGGCACUCUUGAUAGCAUGGGAACAGGUCCAGAAACUCAUGAGCAGCUGCAAGAUUCUGCUUGUCUAGAAGAAGGCCAGCAUGGAUGUCAGAUUAUCAAGUUCCAGAUAAUGAAAUUCCAGAGGAUCCCCUUGUGCAAUUUGCCUUAUUUUCUGACUGUGAUCCAACAACUUACAAGGAGGCUGUGAAAGAAGAGAAAUGGAAGAGUGCUAUGGAUGAUGAAAUAGCAGCAAUCGAGAGAAAUGAUACGUGGGAGUUAGUUGAUCUUCCACCCGGAAAAAAGAGCAUUGGCGUAAAGUGGGUUUACAAAAACAAAAAUCAAUGAAAAAGGAGAAGUGGAUAAAUAUAAAGCGCGUCUCGUAGCGAAAGGAUACAAGCAGGAACAUGGCAUCGAUUAUUUAGAAGUCUUUGCACCGGUUGCAAGGCAUGAUACGAUUCGUUUGGUGACGGCAUUAGCAGCUUGUAACUCAUGGCAAAUAUCUCAGUUAGAUGUCAAGUCGGCAUUUUUACAAGGAGACUUGGAGGAAGAGGUGUUCGUCGAUCAACCGCCUGGCUAUGUGAAUUCUGGUAAUGAGCAUAAAGUCUAUAAAUUAAAGAAAGCUUUAUACGGACUAAAGCAGGCUCCUAGAGCCUGGUAUAGUCGUAUAAAUAGUUAUUUUUUAAAAGAAGGAUUCAAAAGGUGUCCAUAUGAGCAAAAAUUGGAGAUGAUGGCAAGUUGAUUAUUGUGUGCUUGUAUGUUGAUGAUCUUAUAUAUACCGGAAAUGAUGCUGCCAUGCUUGAAAGAUUUAAACAAUCUAUGAUGCAUGAGUUUGAUAUGUCUGAUCUUGGAAUGAUGCAUUAUUUUCUUGGCAUAGAAGCAGUGCAAUCGGAUAGUGGAAUUUUUUUGUGUCAAAGGAAGUAUGUACAAGAAGUAUUAGGCAGAUUUGGUAUGCUUGAUUGCAAUCUAGUUAGCACUCCGGCUGAAAAGGGUGUGAAGCUUACUAAGGAAUUUGCUGGGAGAGGAGUUGAUAGUACUCGUUACAAGCAAAUUGUCGGAAGCUUGAUGUAUUUAACAGCAACCAGACCCGACAUAAUGCAAGCUGUGAGUAUGAUUAGCAGGUACAUGGAAGCUCCAAAGGAGAUUCAUCUUUUAGCAGCAAAGAGAAUUCUCCGUUACUUAAAGGGAACUUGUGGUUUUGGAUUGUUCUAUAAUAGCGGUGAAAUGCCAGAAUUGUUUGGCUUCACUGACAGUGAUUAUGCUGGAGACUUGGAUGAUCGAAAGAGCACUUCUGGUUAUGCCUUUCUUUUUGGUUCUGCAGCAGUUUCAUGGUGCUCAAAGAAACAGCCAAUAGUUACUCUUUCCACUACUGAAGCCGAGUUUGUUGCAGCAGCAGUAUGUUCUUGUCAGGCUUUGUGGUUGCGGAACAUUCUUGAGGAGCUCCAGUGCAAGCAACAGGAUGCUUGUCAAAUUUUUUGUGACAAUACUUCCACAAUUAAGUUGUCCAAAAAUCCUGUAUUCCAUGGAAGAUGCAAACACAUAGAUGUACGGUUUCACUUCUUACGUGAUUUGUCAACCGAUGAAGUCAUUAAUUUGAACUACUGUAGAAGUGAAGAUCAGGUUGCUGAUAUAUUGACAAAGCCUCUCAAAUCAGCUGCUUUUGUGAAGUUACGGAAGUUACUAGGAGUUUGUGCAUUGAAGAAUUCAGGCUAAAGGAAGGCUACAAUGGUGUCUAAACUGAACUCUGGAGAUGUUCAGUUUAUGGGAGGGAAUGUUAGAUUAAUAUUAUUUAUCUAUUUACUGAGUCAAAAUAAGUUCUAAUAUUUAGGAAUUGUCAAUUAGCUGUUAGUCGUGGUUGUUUUAGAGUCUUCUAUUUUUCAGAUUUAGUUGCUUGUUUUCAGGAUAGUGCACAGGAUAGUGCAUAACAGUUUGUUAUUUUUAUUCUACUUAUUAAAUGGUCAGCACUUGUACUCUUUGAGUUCUCAGUUAAUAAGAAGUUGGUUUCAGCCGUAUAUCUUCUUCUUCUUUCUGUCAAUUUAAGCUAACAAUUUCAUUAUCAAAUCUUAUCAAAAGUUUUAUUUUUUUAUAUUAUAACUCAAAAUAAACAAAUAUAAAAAAUAAUUACCCAACACUUUUUUUUCCGGGAACACACUAAUUUUCAAAAGCACUCUCCCCUCACCGAUCAAUACCGAUUAACAUGUGUAUCAAAAAAUGAAAACAAUUCCUCGAGUCUAUCUCAUUCCCGAGUUUAAGUCAAUUUCACACUGACAGAGAGAGUUUAAAUCCCAUUUCUGCAAAUCGCAGCUCAAAGAGGCUUGAACGAUGUUGUUGCUAAAGAGAGGAGGUCAAACACUAGCCAGUGCUCAUUUUCAUGUUCUCACUUCAUUCACGUCGAUGGCUUCAAUUGUAAGCACCCCUUCUCUUUUUCAUUCUCAUUUUCUUCUUUUCUCUACUAAACCUAACCCUAAUUCACAACCCAAACCCCCCUUUAUUCCUUCUCCAUCCACCACUCAUCCCGAACUUAAACAAUUACUCUAUCAUAAAUCUAAAGUUGGUUUUGAUAAACUCGACGAUGCUCUUCUUGUGUUCGAUCAAAUGCUCCGUCUGAAAUCUGGGCUUUCUGUUGUGGAUUUCAACCAACUCUUAACCGCCCUCGUACGAAUGAAAGAAUACUCUGUAGCUGUCUCCAUGUUUAGAGAAAUGCGUGUGUUAAGCAUUCCUGUUGACAUUGUUACCUUUAAUACUGCCAUUCAUUCCUGUUGUCACUUGAAUACACUUGAUUAUGCCUUUCCGUUGCUUGCUGGAAUCAUCAAGAGUGGUUGGGUGCCCGAUGUCUUUACCUACAACACUCUCAUCAAGGGCCUUCUAUCUCAAGACAGGCCUUUGGAGGCUGGGGAUUUGUUUAACAAGCUUAUCAGAUUUCAAGAAAUUCAGCCCGAUGCAGUUACGUAUAACACCAUCAUUGAUGGUCUCUGCAAAACUUCAAAUACCUCCAUGGCUCUCAAGUUGUUAAGAAAGAUGGAGGAGAUAGGUUGUAACCCCGAUGCGGUAACUUAUACCUCAAUUAUUGAUUCUUUGUGCAAAGAGAGACGAGUCGAUCAAGCAUUGGUUCUUGUGUCUGAAAUGACCGACAAAGGCAUAUCACCUGAUGUUAUAACCUAUAGCACGCUACUUCAAGGUCUUUGCAGCUCCGGCCGAUGGGAGGACACUGAGCGUUUGUUAACUGAGAUGGGUGUUAGGAGGAUCUAUCCAGAUUUGCACACCUAUAAUAUAUUAGUUGAUGCAUACUGCAAAGAAGGGAGGACAACACAUGCAGAAGAUGUGAUUGAAAUUAUGAUCCAGAAAGGUGUGCCUCCUGAUUCAAUCACAUACAAUGCACUGAUGGAUGGUUAUUGUUUAACAGGCAAAAUGGACAGGGCACUAGAGGUGCUGAAUACCAUGAGGAGUAAUGAGAUAUGGCCAAACUAUUAUAGCUAUAACAUUCUGAUAAAUGGCUAUUGUAAGAGGCAGGAACUAGACAAAGCCAUCAGUCUCCUCAGACAAAUGCGUGUUGAAGGUAUAAAAGCCGAUGUUCAAACCUACAGCACCAUCAUACAUGGUCUCUUUCAGAUGGGCAGACAUAAUGAGGUGGACAACCUUUUCCUUGAAAUGCUAAAAGAAGGUACUAAACCAAAUAUCGUAACAUGUCGAAUUUUGUUGGAUGGCCUUUGCAAGAACCGAUACAUGGAUGAAGCAAUUUCCUUCUUUCGAGUGAUGGAAUGUAAAGGUAUAGUUCAUGAUAUUCAAAUACAUAAUAUCCUAAUUGAUGGUCUCUACAAGAACGGAAAGCUUGACGAGGCCAGAAAUACUUUUGAUAAGCUUGCUUCGAGAGGUUUGCAACCUGACGUCAUAACACACAACAUAAUGAUCAGAGGAUUUUGUCAAGAAGGGUUAUUUGAGGAAGCAAAGGAAUUACUUUCUAAAAUGGAAACGGGCAUUUGUUUGCCUGAUGCUGUGAUUUAUAAUACGAUCAUCCGUGGAAGUCUUUUAAAUAAAAGAUAUGGAGAAGCAGUUGUACUGACAGAGAACAUGCGAGCUCGUAAAUUCUCAGAAGAUGCAUCUACCACAUCCAUGGUACUAGACCUAUUAUCUAAAGAAGAACAAGACCCCUCCGUUCUUGCUUUCUGCAAAUGGUUUUUGCAAUAGGUACUGAAGUUUAUGGUUCAUUGUUAUGUAUUGUCAUCUUUUAACUUCCUCGAGUUUUCUGCUGUAGUAAUAUGUUUUACUGAGCAAAGAAUUAUUCUAAUUAGCAAUGUAAAGGGUUCCAUCAGUUAAGAAUAUGUUUUUUGGAGGCAUAUCAUGUAAGGGACUCAGACUGUUCCCAUCAUUUCAAUGAACGAAAAUGUUUUUGUGGUGAUUACUAGUAUGAAGUUCUUAUAUGCGUUUCCUCUCCAAUUUAUAUCUUGGUCAAGAGAAUGGAGGGCUCCAUUUCUUAACUCAUUGGUGUACGAUUUAGACAUUGCAAAAUCAAACUCCGCUUGCACCCUUCCCGCUUUAAUGUGAAGAUGUAAGAUCACAGUCUUCCUGCUUUGUUAUGGCCCCUGCAGCUAAAUUUGUAUUCAGGUUAAAUCUGAAGGCACUGGAUGCCUCCCAUGCCAGUUGAACAGGAGCGUAAUGUACAAUGGCACUGAGUUACAUUGAAGGUAUGUCAAAACUUUUUCUUUUGACAAUUACAUAGCCCAGUAGAAAUAGUGUGUAGUGCAAAAUUAAUGAAAAUGCGAUUGAUAAGUAAACAGAAUGGAAGGCAAAUUCAGUUUUCUUAUACUACAUUUUGGUUCUUAUCAUCAUAUACCAUAGUAAUAUGCGACAAAAGCAAAUCAUUUGAUCCGUAAAUAUUUCUUACAUAUCGGCUCUUGGAGUGUUUAUCUCAUCCUAUCAAUUUCCAGUGCAAUAUUUUUUCCGUAAUGAAGCAAUCACUGAUCUAUCUUGACAUUUAAAUGCCAUAAUCGCUGAACUGACAGAUCAUUUCAUAAUCUGUGCACCACAAUUCCGAACUAAUUUACCCAGCUAAUAGCGAAUGUGCUAUUGCUUGAAGAAAUAUCACAGACUUAAAAGCAUAUUUCACGUUUUUUAGAAUAAAAAAUUAAAGUUUAGUAGAAAAAACAUGCACACAUCAGCAUAUAUAAAGCAUUUCAAGUUCACUUAUAUAAGAAAAUAUUUCAAAUUUAAUGGAGUUUUUAAUUGCUGACAAGGACAAGUAGUACAACUAUACACAAUUCACACAGUCUUCAGAAACAGCAACAACAUAAAAUGCAAAACACUUUGUAGUACUAAAUUCUUCCAAAUGCCAGCUUUGCUUUCCAGGCACAUAGUCCUUAGAGUCGCUAGCUGACCAGGAUCUGCAGAGAGGAAUAUUUUUUGGAUUGACGCGGACUUUCACUCCUCCUGCAGCAAAAACAGCAAGUAGCACGGCAAAACAAGGGACGAUGAAACGAAUAAAUAAACACAUUGAAGAGUAUCACCUUAUUGCGGAUCCAAUUAUACAGAGGUAGAACUUACUAUUUGGUAGUUGCUCCAGUUACUCUUUAAUUGUCUUUUCUGCAUCCAUUUCCUUGAUGACUGUCGGAUCUAGGACUCCAAUUAUAUACAGAAGUAAUACAUUCUGCAGACAAAGAAGUAGUCAGUGUGGUAAUUGCUUGCAACAUGCUCUGCAAUACGUUGAAAUCUCACGGCUUCACAUAUCAUCACGGCCAACUUUAUUCAUCGUCCUCAUCAAAUGAGGACACGGUGAGAUAAUUGCCUGCUUCUGUAUGAUGCACUCAGUGUAACUGCCUUUUUCAAGUAAUUUUAUUAGCUCAAUCUUUUUGGGGAGAUCCUUUCUUAGCUCUUCUUCUGUUUUAUUUCCCCCUUUUAGCUCUUCUCUUUCUUCCUCCUUCCUUUUUAUCAUAUCUAUGUUCUCUCCCUGUUUCGUUUCUAUUUUGUAACCCAAGGAAUCUAAGGUUUCGAGUCCCUCUCGGAUCUCCUUUUUCCAGCCUCCAGGUAAUGAGCGAUUGAUAGAAGUCACUAUAAAGAUUAUUUGUGUAAAAAUAAAUUAUGACCUCAUGUGUGGUUUUAUAGUAAUAUUUAGUUCUUUCAAAAUAAAAUAUAAAGCAUUUCUAUCUAUAUGAAAUGUGUAAAGCAUUAAGGUUGUGUUUGGUUGGGGUGAAUGAAUAGAAUGGAAUGGAAUGAGUAUAAAUAAAACAAAAUAAUAGAGUGUAGGAGGGAGAAUUUUGAAAAAAAUGAGUGAGUGCAAAUUUUGUAUGAUAGGAUUUGGGUAGAAAAUAGGCAUGAUAAGGAAUGGAGCAUUCCUUCACAAAAUGAAGUUUUUGAGUUCUAGUUAAGGGUGAUAAGAAUGGAAUGGUAGAAGGAAUGAAAUUAUUAUACAUUCAACUAAAUUAUAGUUCAAAUCUCAUUUCAUUCCCUCCAUUUUCAUUCACCCCAACCAAACACAACAUAAGUAUCUCUCGGAUAUCCUUUCCUGUUUUUCCACAUUUGUUCCAUUCUGUCCUUGGCUGAGAACAUAGCUAUUUUCAACUCCUGAUCCAGUAGUUUCACUUCGUCAAAAGGAUUCGUUCCGGUUUUUCGCUUGCAUAUCUAUUUUCAGGUUCAAUUUCAUUUCCAGUAGUAUUUGAAGAACAUAGUCUGUUUUCUCCUCUCUAUUUAUUAAAUGUUCCAUUCUACCUGUCAAUUUUUGUACAGGUUUGCGAAUAUUUGAUCUUCUUUGAUCUCAGGGUUUUGGCAAAUGGGAUUCGAAAAAUACAAGGCCAGUCAUUUUUGCAUAACAUAGUGUCCUCAGGAUAUGUGUUUAAGGGGGGACAAGUUUAUGGGUAUGCUGCUAAAUUUUACACGGGCUCGUUGAUAUGCACUCCAAGUGCUGGAGGAUUUUGGAGGAGGAAUGGGCGGAAUUAUGUUUCUUUGAUUGCUAUGAUUAGUGGUUACUCUCAAAAUAGUGAGGAGUUUCGAAUGAUUGAGUGUUUUUGAGCUAUUAAAGCCGAAGAUGUUGAAUGUAAUUAGUAUACAUUUCCUAUGAUAUUUAUGGUUCGUGCAGCAUUAUUUGUUCGUGGUACAAGUGCAUGGUUGUGUUGUUCGUGGUGAUUUUGGGACAAAUGUGUUUGUUGCGAGUUUUUAGUUGACAUGUAUGCCAAAUGCAGGGAUUCAGUAGAUCAAAAGUGUAGGAAUUGAGGGACUGAUGAUGCGAUUUCAUGAAACUCUAUAAUAGUUUGGUGCGUUAGGCAUGAUUUAAAAGAAGCAGCACUAUUAUGAAAUUCUAUGAUAGUUGCUUGAUUGAUCUCUUAGCAUGGUCUAGGUAAAUCUAUGAUAGUUGCUUGCAUAAUUGAUCUUUUAAUUAGGACGCCCCGAGAAAAUAUUGCUCAGAGAAGUUUCAGCAAUGGCUGUCAAGAGAGUAGCUGUUCUCACAAUGACUUGUUUGAGCUUAACCCCUCUAAUUAUAAGCCCUUGUUCUCUUUUAUCCUCUCUUUUUCAUUCUCAUUUUCUUCCUUUCUCUACUAAGCCUAACCCUAAUUCACAACCCAAACCCCCCUUUAUUCCUUCUCCAUCCACCACUCAUACUCGACUAAAACAAUUACUCUAUCAUAAAUCUAAGGUUGGUUUCGAUAAACUAGAAGAUGAGCUGCUAGUGUUCGUUAAAAUGCUCCUUCUGAAAUCUGGGCCUCUUGUUCUGCAAUUUAACCAACUGUUAACUGCCCUUGUUCGGAUGAAAGAAUACUCUGUAGCUGUCUCCAUGUUUAGAGAAUUGUGUGUCUUAAGCAUUCCUGUUGAUAUUGUUACUUUUAAUACUACUAUUCAUUCCUGUUGUCACUUGAAUACGCUUGAUUAUGCCUUUUCAUUGCUUGCUGGAAUCAUCAAGAGUGGUCAUGUCCCUAGUGUUGUUACAUACAACACUCUCAUCAAGGGCCUUCUAUCUCAAGGCAGGCCUUUGGAGGCUGAAAAUUUGUUUAAGAAGCUUAUCGGAUUACAAGAUAUUCAGCCCAAUGUAGUUAUGUAUAACACAGUCAUUGAUGGUCUCUGCAAAACUUCAAACACCUCCUCGGCUCUCAAGUUGUUAAGAGAGAUGGAGGAUAUAGGUUGCAGACCCAAUAUUGUAACUUUUACCCCGAUUAUUGAUUCUUUGUGCAAAGAGAGACGAGUCGAUCAUGCAUUGGAUCUUGUGUCUGAAAUGACCCACAAAGGCAUAUCACCUAAUGUUUUAACCUAUAACAGAUUACUUCAAAGUCUUUGCAGCUCCAGCCGCUGGGAGGACAUUGAGCGGUUGUUAAGUGAGAUGGGUGUUCAGAAGAUCCCUCCUGAUUCGCACACCUAUAGUAUAUUAGUUGAUGCAUACUGCAAAGAAGGGAGGACAAAAGAUGCUCAAGAUGUUAUUGAAAUUAUGAUCGAGAAAGGUGUGCCUCCUAAUGUAAUCACCUACAGUACGCUUAUGCAUGGAUUUUGUUUAAGAGGCAACACUGACAGGGCAUUAGAGGUGCUGAAUACCAUAAGGAGUAAUGGUAUAGCGCCAGAUUGUUAUAGCUAUACCACUCUGAUAAAUGGCUAUUGUAAGAGGCAGGAACUAGACAAAGCCAUCAAUCUCCUUAGACAAAUGCAUGUUGAAGCUAUAAAACCCGAUGUUCAAACCUACAGCACCAUCAUACAUGGUCUGUUUCAGAUGGGUAGACAUGGUGAGGUGCGAAACCUUUUCCAUGAAAUGCUAGAAAAAGGUAACAAACCAAAUAUAGUAA
rnacentral:lncRNA from 1 species